rnacentral:lncRNA from 1 species
CAUCUUAUUCAUCUAAUAGCCCAUAUUUUUUUCACUAGUCUUAUCAAUCUUUUAUUUUUUUAUAUUAAUUAUAUUAAAAGUUAAAAAAAUAAAUUAAACUCUUAAAUUAAUAGGUGUAAAAUUUACAGUAAUUAGAAUGUGUUUGUUUGAAAGAAAGUGAAGAUAGGUGAAGUAAUUUUUGAUCGUAAAUAUUUAUUUUUGAUAUUUGAAUUGCUGUAACUCCGCCAAGCUCACUACAACAAAAGCGGUCUAUAGCGACACUUUUAAAUAUAGGUACAUGUCAAAAAAGUGCUGCUAGCUAAAAUUACCGACACUUUUAAAAAGUGUUGCUAUAUGUGGGGUCGCUAGGUAUAUAGUGACAGUUAAAAAGUGUCGCUAUAACCUAAAAGAGUGCUGCUAAUUUACCAACACUUAUUUAAGCAUUUAGCAACCGCCGAAACUCUAUCUCGUUGGUUGCGGUGGCGGAGGAGGACGACAGGAAAGGCUCUUCGUCUAGAAUUUCAGUGGAUUGAGUGAAGAGAGAAGAAAAGAUGAUAAUUGAUUUUUCUUUUUUUUUUCUUUUCUGUUUGUAAUCGGGUCAAAUGGACUGGGUGUGGUGGGUUGAGUAGAGUAAUCUUUUAUUUUUGGUUGAAUUGAGCUUUAUAUUUAGGCAUAAGUAAAUAUUUUUUUAAGUUUUAAUAUAAAUGGGACACUUACUCAAAAGUGUUCCAAACAUGUGUCCCUAUAAUCUAAUUCUGUUGUAGUGGCUCUCUAAAAUAAAAAAAAAAGCAAGAAAAUAUGACAAAAUAUUAUUAACUCAUCUCUUGUAUUUUUAGUUCACCAAAUAAACAAUAGAACUGAGUAAACAUCAGCUUCAAAAUUGUGCAAAUAAAUAGUAAAAUAAAAAUAAUUUUUAUACGAAUUAUAAUUCAUGCANUGUAUCAAGUUAGUACCUUGUGGUUUCUCACUUUAUCACUUUAGUACCCUGUGGUUUAAAGUGUAUCAAGUUAGUACCCUGUGGUUUUGCAUUUUAUCACUUUAGUACUCUGUGGUUUUGAUUUUGUAUCAAAUUAGUACCCUGUGGUUUUUUAAACUAUAGGGUACUAAAGUGAUAAAGUGUGAAACCACAGGAUACUAAAGUGAUAAAGUACAAAACCACAGGGUACUAAUUUGAUACACUUUAAACCACAGGGUACUAAAGUGAUAAAGUGAGAAACCACAGGGUACUAAAGUGAUAAAGUGAGAAACCACAGGGUACUAACUUGAUACACUUUAAACCACAGGGUACUAAAAUGAAAAAGUGUGAAACCACAGAAGGGGGUUUUUGAAGUUUUCCCUUUUAUUUUUGUUCUUUGAAUGCAGGGAUUGGAAUGAAUAUUGACAAAGUCCUACUUAUUUUUUCCAUUCUAAGUCCUCUUCAUUGGAUUCGCUGUUCAAUGCAUGGGCGAUGCAUGUAUAAUUCAAAAUUUAUUUAAGCAUCUACAUAUACGUCGUAUCGUGUCAUGUUACAUAAUAUUUUAAAUUAAACAAAUUCGUGUUGUGUCAGUUUUGCAUUUCUUUUAGUGAUUUUUUGUUGUCUCUGAACGGUAUUUAAAUCGUGUUGUUGUAUCGUGCCCGAAAUUGCUACUCCUAUGUUAGAUAUUGGUCGAGAUCUAAGAGAAGAGUAAAUUACCAAAGAGAAUAAGAACUUAAUUUACAUGCUAUAUCUUACCAAAUAAAAAAAAAAUAUUGCAUGCUUUAAUGAAAAGAAUUACAUAUAUAAAGGCAGAUGCCUUUUUAACUUUUAUUAUUAUUAUUAUUAUUAUUGUUGUGCUGUUUUUGUUGGUGUUAGUAGUUGAGGUUGGUGAGUUUAAAGCUAUCAUUUUUCAAAAUUUUCAUAGAGGUCAAAAUAAAAAGGUCUUUUAUAGAGGAUGCCUAAAUGAAAGGUGUCAACCUAACUUUGUUUAGAUGGAACUUAUAAAGAAUAGAAUGAUUUAAAAACACAAAUUAAAGAAAAAUAAAACAAUAAGUAUUAUUUCUUUUGUUAUUUUGAUUUAUCGAAGAGAAAACAACAAUAUAUAUAUAUAUAGAGCUAGGCUCCUAUGCUUUUGAAAGUACGGGAGGCCCCGUGCUUGUAAGUUGUUUUCGAUGAUGGGACAUCCGAUUGGGCGAUCGGUUCCGUUAAACUUAAUCUACGCUAUUGGAACUAUCUAGAAACCAAAUUUCAUAAUUUUUUGAUUUUGUUUGUCUAGCGAACGAGUAGCCUCAAAAUGAACGGCUGAAAAUGAAAAUCUCAUAAAAAAUAGUGAUAAAUGAUUUAAAUUUUAAAUCGGAAGUAUUGAUUUUGCUACUGAUGUUAAGUAGAAUUUUCUAUUAAAUUUUCAUAUAAUUUGAAUACUUCUACACCGUUGAACUUAAAAAUGUGCCACAUCGACCGUUAAAAUAGUCAUUUUUUAGACCUUUUGAUCGCUUAGUAAAUGAUAUAAAAAAAAUCUAAAAUUUGGUUUCUAGAUAGUUCCAAUAGGGUAGAUCAUACCUAACGGAGCCGAUCGUCGAAUCGAACGUCCUAUCAUCAAAAACAACUUACAAGCACAGGGCCUCCCGUACUUUCGAAAGUAUGGGAGACGGAAUGCUAUCGGUAGCAAACGGACUUCGUUGCCACCCAUUUGCUUUCGAUGAUGGAGCCUUCAAAUCGACGAUCGGCGCAAUUGAAUAUGAUUUAUAUACUACUUGAAGUAUCUAAAAACCAAAUUUCGAAUAUUUUUGACGUUAUUGACCUAAUGAUCAAAGAGUUUCAAAAUUUAUAAUUUUCAUGGUAGAUAUGAAACGUUUUUUCGUUUAACGGUAUAAAACAAUCCAAAUCAAUUGAAUUUUGAUUAGAAAAUUUUUUAAACUAUUUAAAAUAAGAUCUAUACUCUUGAUCUUACUUACAAAAUUUUUAUCAUUAUUUUUUAAAGAAUAUUUAUUUUUAACCGUUCAUUUAUACGAAUUAAGAAAAGACAACAAAUUAAAUAACAAAAAAAAAUGCCACAAAAAUGACUCAGAAGAUUGCGCAUGUGACAAAAAAAAAAAAAAAGUCUCAUCCUCUGAAAUUAUAUGUUUUUACUAAGUGAAUUUUCACCAUAUGUGUUACUCUAAAAGAGAAUCACAUAGUAUUUCUGAAUUAAUGUGAAACAACAAUUUAUUUUUAAAAACUUAAGCUACUACAAAAUAAUAUUUUCAUAAUUAUAUAUACAUAUUCAAUACUCAAAGUGCUCACAAAUGUAUUUGACAUGCAAGCGAAGCAGCAGGGAUUUAACCCCUAGAAUGUGAAAAUUUAUAUAAUUAAAUAUUGAAAAUGAAAAUUAAACUCAUGACCUCACAAAAUGACAAAACUUUAGAAUUAGUACUGGUACUAUAUGAAUUAACGUAAAACAACCAUUUCUCUCUGAAAAUUUAUAUAAGCUUCUUAUGCUCAAAAGUGUUUUUACUUUUGACCACUUUUAUUUUCCUACAUCACUCGAUCAGUAUAAUUUUAUGUCUUCAAGUAGCGAUUAGGGAUGUCAAUAGGUACGGAUAUCCGAAAUUUUAUCCGAACCCGAAUCCGAACAUAGCGAAUUUAUCCAAUCCUAAAUGAAUAUGGUUUCGGAUAUAAAUAUCAAAAAUAAAAACCCGACGGAUAUGAAUAUGGAUAUGAAUUUUGACUGUGCCCGAUCCGAACCUGAAUUUAUUUUACAUUAUAUAUAAUAUGUAUAUAAAAAUUUGAUAUUAUAUUUGAAUUUAAAUUGAAAAAUUUAAAUUUAAUAUAAUAUAUUUUGAAAUAUUGAAAAGAGAAACAAUUGUUUCGGAUUCAGAUUUUCGCGUUCAGGUUCGGGUUUGGAUUCGGAUUUGAAUAUGAAUUUUUAAAAUCUAUCGGGUUUGAAUUUGAAUUCGGAUUUCCGAUUUGGAGUCGGGUUCGAAUUUUUAAAAAUCUACCCCGAAUCCGUCCCAACCCGAGCCGUAGAGAUCCCUAAUAGCGAUUUCCAAUUGGAUAGCCAUUGCUUUUCCCAAUCGUGCCUUUUUGUGUUGGCCAGUAGUUGUGACACGAACCCCUAAAAACAAAACUCGUCAAAAAAAAAAACAAAAAACAAAAAAACAAAAAAAAGCACCCUACGUAUGCGGCGCCGUAUUCAGCAGCGUCUUGUUGUUGUCGUCGCCGACAUUGAAAAAUCUCCUUUGUGGGCUUUGAAAUUUGAAGCAGUGAUUUGAUACCUUACAUAAUGAGACUCGCUGCUAACUUGCUAAUUCUCGCUUUAGCUGUUAAUGCUGAUCGCGACUAAUUAAUAAGAAGACGUAACCAAAUUAUUAUUUGAAUAGAGCUAUAUCUUUUAUUAAAAAAAAAAAAAAAUUAACUAUUUUCUAUUACAAGGAAUUAAGAACUUCUUUGAUAUUGUUGUUGUUGUUGUUGUUUUUUCACUUUUAUAAGCGAAAUUUAAGAAAUUGAUUAGUAUAUUUCAGUACUUUUGUUAUUGUUAGCGAACUUGCAAUACAAUUUAUUUUUUUCGUAAAAUAAAUUUGUUAAACAUAUACGGCUGCAAGUAUUCCACCAUCCCUUGACAUUAACAACAUCAAACGGGUUCUAAAAAAAGUUAAAAAGUUCAUGUUAGAUUCUUGCCGCAAUAGAUACUCUGUCGCAUGCAUGUAUACUGAUCAGAUGCAAUAAAUCUACUCUUAUUUCAUAACUCGCUUUAUAACUUGCAAAACAUCUUGGAGCUGUUGCUUCUCGAGGUGGAGAAGCUGUCUACAAGCUUAGCCUAUUGAGUUUUGACUUGGCAGGCUAGAUUAAGUGCUUUGGUGAGCAGCACUGUAGGGUCUGCUUUGGAGGCUUCUGGGUUUACAAUAAUUCUGAGCUUCUAGUGGUGGUCCUGCCUCUGCUUUUGGGGUUAGUUGGAGCAUCACUUAUCCAAAACACUCAAGAAGCUUCAAAUUAUUCAGUCUUAUUCACAUCAUGAACACAAGUUUCAACUUCUUGAUGCAAUCUCGACCAGAGAUGGGAGGACUACUGAUGCCAUCUGCGCAGCUCAGCACCUUGGAUGCAGAAAAUUCUUGCACGCUCUUUAUCAGACCGCUCAUAUGAAGAGUGAUAUACAUUCAUUAGUCGAAAAAACGAGAUCUACAGAUGGAAAUUGACCUCGCUUUUCAAUGAAUAGCCCGAUUAAGCAGUGCGCACAAAUUUUCUGUGCAGCGGUCCACCCCUGUUUUCCUGUUUGGCUUCAUUAAAGAGAACUUUUAUUCUGAAAAGUGGAAGUUUGGUGCUUUUUGGCAACCUGUUUAGUGCGUCUACAGAAGCACUUUAAUUCACCAAGGAAUAAUUAGGAGACUUCACUGAGUAAUUGCUAGAGAAUCUGGAACCAGUUCUAUUCAAAUUACACUGUUCUAAAGAAAAGGAAAAGAAAAGAAAAUCUAACAAGGCAAGGAAGGACACAGAGGAGGAAUUCUAAAGUUUCUGAGAAAGAGACAAAGUAGCAAUUGCUUUAUACAGUGGUUAUCUAAUGGGGAUCUGUGGACCAUGUAUUGAUCAUAGAAAUUGUCUCAGCUUCUAAAGCAAUGUUCCAAUUAAUGUGAUGAUGAUACUAAUUGUACUAGUAUUAAGGACCUGUUUGUUUGUUUCAGAAGCUGUAUAAUUGGUAUCUGGAUACAGCCAAGCCAAAAAGCACUUUUCUUCUUGAGACGGCCAAUCAAAAAGCACUAAUAAUUGUUCACUUAAGAUUCCUCCAAUAGCCUUUAGUACCUGCAGAAAGAAGAGACUUCAAUUGUAAGUUCUAUUUUUACAGCUCAAAAGAUUAAAUUUUAUUUACAAAUAAUCAAAACUAAUGAGGAAAACUAAGAAUGACCGAUUGUGUUUACGGUUAUAUUUUCACUUACAUUUAUUAAAUGGAAGUGACAGUGAACAUCAAUUUUCCAAAACUCUGAACAAGAGUUACUUGGCUGACAUUGCUUUUAACACAGCAGUCCAACGAUCUAAUUAUUGUUCGUUGAAUUGAACCAAGUUCAGCUUCUAUGAAAACUUCCGUUCGCAAUGUAAAUUCACUGUAAACAAUAUCUUGUAACCGACUGUCGACUGCAAAAAGGAAUUACAGAUGAAUGUGGCUUCUUCUGUCACAUCAUGCAGAAGAUGCCGCGGAAUGACAAUGAAACCGUGAAAAGGGAAUUACUAAUGAAUUUGGCUUCUUCUAUCACAUCGUACAGAAGAUGCCGUGGAAUGACAAUGAAAGAUAGUCUCUUCUUCAAAGCAAAAGAUUGAGAAGAAGCAAAGCAUGAGACAAAGUUCGAAAGCAUGUCUGCAUCACUUGGUUUCUGGUUCGCCGGGCUUCAGACAGAGACUAUCCAUUUGUAAUGAUCAUCACUUAGGGUGGUCCCUUUCACCUAGAGCCGGAGCUUAUCCAUUUGUGGUGAUCAUCACUUAGGGUGAUCUCUUUUGCCUAGAGGGGGAGCUUCUGGAAAAGUACUGUCUGAGUUAUCCAAAAUUUCAAAUGGCCCAAUGAAUUAAGAACUCAACUUUUCUCGAAUGUCAAAUCUUUUAAUUUUUUUUUUAUCGGUGAUACUUUCAAAGAGAUAUGAUCAACCACUUGGAACUCCAAUUCCUGCCGAUAUUUAUCCGCAUAGCUCUUUUGUCGACUUUCACAAAAUUUUCUCAAAUAAUUUUGUUUUGCAGGUAGAAUCAAAUGCUUCAAGCUGGUAUUUUUUGAUUAGAUAAAUUACACCACUUUUGGUCACCAAGCUUACAGUUUCACUUGGGUCAGGAUACUUAAAUUUUUUUCCACCUAAUGCAUUUAAUUAUAAGAUUGCUAUUAUAAUAAGUAAAGCUUUUGCUGAAAUAUAUAUAUAUAUAUAUAUAUAUAUAUAUAUAUAUAUAUAUAUAUAUAUAUAUAUAUAUAUACCGUUGAGCUAGAAUACUAUCAGUAGCAAAUGGGUUCCGUUGCUACCGAUUUGUUUUCGAUAAUAGAGCCUUCAAAUCGACAAUCGACACUAAGCCAUAAUUUUAACUGCUUAGCACUAGUACUGUAACUUCACCUAUACCAAAUAAAACAUUGUCCCACAGUCAAACCCUUUAUCAAGAUGCAAUAUUAAAUAAUAAUAAUAAUAAUUAAAUAAGUUUACUUGCUAAUUGUCAAAGUAGGUCUUUCUUUUAUUUCCUCAAAUUUAUUGUCCUUCUUUACUAUUCGAUUCCCAUAACAAUCAGCAUUUGAUCAAAUGAAACAACAGCAAAAAGAUGGAGAAAAAUUGGCAAUCACAAUAAUAGCAGCAGCAGAACAUUUUUACAAGAAAAUUGUAGUAUGUUCAGGGAAGUGUACAAAAAUUUUCACCAAAAUUCCUUACCUUGGGAGCUAUUUGGAGUAGCAGCAUUUGCCGAUAUACUUGUUACAUGCCAUCUAAUGCCAAAACCCUAGUAUGACCGCAAUGCCGAAAAGCACCGAGAGAAUCAAAUUUGCACAUGGCAGGAGAUCUCCUGUCAAACGAGCUGAUCUGCAGAUGUAAUCAAUAAUGAAUUAGUUUCAUGAUGUAUAAGCAAAAUACAGAUGCAGUUUACAGAACACUGAAGAUGGGAAAGGGAAAGAAUUUUGGUUCAAAUAUUACAAAUCCAGUCGAAUAGGUGCUUCCAUCUUGGUAGAUAAAGAGUACAAAAUCUUCAUGAAAUAAUAUAUGCUUUUCAAGGAUAGUUUUAAAAUUUCCAUGAGAAUAUUUGUAUGUUUAUCACCAAUCUAUAUAAAAAUUACUAGUAUGCAGUACAUGAAUCUCGAGUAGAAGAACAGAAUCACAGUUCAUAAUUUAUUGAAUUCAACAACAGAUAAGAAUCUACUGCAUUUCAUACUCUUUGACAAGGACUAAGUAACAGCAUUUGUUUCUUUAAAAGGCCAAUUGAGUUGCACAGUAAUUAUAAUACAAAUCUGAAAUCAUUUCCCUAUCAGCAUGAUUUCUACUUUGCAAUUCAUAGCUGUUUCACACUUUCUUGUCGAAUCCACUGAAGGUAACUAAUUCUGACAUUCAGGACGAGUUUAAGAUGAUGUUGCUUCUACCGAAAAGUGUCUUCUAACUAGCAUGUUUCCUCGAUUGUUGUCCUCGUAUAGCCCUGCAUCUCACUUUUAACUUAGUGACACUUCAUACUAGCAUGAUAAGUGCGUACGAAACAUGAACCAAAAUGGAACUAAUGCAUCGUAAUGGUUUAUUUGUUUGUUUGUUUAUGAGAAAUGGCGUCUAUUUUCGUGAAUUUCAUUACACUAUUUGCAAUGUAACCUCUCGGUAUAUUUUAAGCAAUCUUUACCCAAAUCCAUCCAGCUUACAUACUAUUGAGUCUCCUAGAAUGAAAACUAACUCAUCUCUGAAUUUUCUAAAUGUAUUGAACAAUUUUCAUCCAAUUCUGAAGUUUCAAUCAAACUAAAACCUAAAUUGUAAGACAAAGUUUCAAUCAAGCUGAAAACUAAAUUGUAAGACAAACGAAUAGAUUCUGAACUUUCAUCGAUUCUUCAAUGUUUUUCAUUGAGUAUUAUAGUCACCAAUUAUAUAACGAAGUUUACUAUUUUUUUCUGAAAUGUUUUUGCAAGAAUUACAGGAAUAGGUUUAACCACAUAGUAUGAGAAAAAUUAUGUGGAGAGAAGAAUCAACAACGCAAAAACUUUGUUAUAAAUUCCCCUUUUCCUUAUCGGUAUCAGGACGUCUCGAAAUAAUACCGAGGGCAGGGGAUUCAAUUAACCGAGAUUCAGAAGCUGAAAUUAUCUUGUGAAUGACAUUGCAUAUUCCAAAUUAAAGUCAUGUAACGAAUAUCGUAUUUGUUAAUCGUACCUAUAUCUCUUCCUUGAACGAUGAAUCCAAGCCAUUGCAGGCGGGAGGACUCCAAAGAGAAAGCAAUUUGCAUAUACUCCUGAAAAAUCUAAAGCCUUAGAAAAGGCCGUUGAGAAGAAAGACGCGGUGAAGAUCGGAACAAGAAGCACGAGCCACAUAAUCAUUAACCUACUCACACUAGAAUUAUCUUGCAAAUUAACCAACCCAUUUGCGCCAUUAUAUCUAAUAUCUUCAUUAGCACCUUCACUAAGAACUCACAUUCCACCAUUGCCUGAUCUUUCCCUUGUAUUAUCAUCAGAACCUAUUCGAAGUACUUUUCGUUUCUUUUCAAACAUUUCUAUUAUCAACUUCACUGUAUCUUCUAACUGUUUUGGGAAGCUCACAGCAUAACCUAUCAGACUAGUCACCAAUGCAGCAAAUGCAAACCCUUGGACAGCGGGCAAAGCCGAAGGAUUCACCGAGAGUAGAAGCUUGAUAGGAUCAUCAAAUCCCAUAUUGCAGAUCCCCGCUAGUCCUAAAAUAACUGCGUUCCACGAAAGAACCAUCACCAACAGAACAGAGCCUCCGAUUAAUAUAGCUUUACUAGCAUUGUAGACUGAAUCCCCUGCAAUUUUACAUAUAAAGGGGGUAACAACAUGGAAUCCUAAAGUGAGGACCGUCGCGAGAAUCGCUGUUAAGAUUGUUUCAGGUCUCCAACAAGCAUAAGAAAGAGAACCCAACAAAUCACUUCUCCCGACACACACUCCAAUUGACACAAGAGAAGGAAUAGAGAAGAGCAUCAAACAACAUAGAAAUCGAUUAGUAACAUCAAUGGCCUUGAAAGGGAAGAAUCCGAGUACGACUCCGACGAAAGAGGGGGAAAUCACAUGAGCUAAGAUUGGAGUAAUGUGAGGAAACUGCUGCGUUAUAAGAAAACCAAUGCCCGAGACGCAAGCAACUAAAAGAGAAAAGCUGAGGCUGAUGUAGAUGACGACGACGAAGGCCCCGACUUCCGGGCCUAAUGCAUUGAUUGCUAGCCAGGUGAAGCUCACCUCUUCUCUGCCAUUCUCUUCCACGGCAGCGAAGCUGUGCUCAGCGACGAGGACAAUGGAGGAGAUGAGGACGAGAUGACAUAGACCCAACAGAGGAUGAUGGCGAUGGUAGAUGGAACAGUCCCCGAUCUUAUGGUGGAGGCAGGGAGGCUGAGCAUUCCGGGGCCACAGCAGUGCCUAUGAUCAAACUACUGCACCCCAAAAGGUCUUUUCUUCAGUUUUAGCUUCUUCAACUUCAUCUUUUUUGAAUCCUUCAACAAUCAAUACUUCUUUGAUGGAGUUUUCUUCAGUCACAGUGGCUUUGGUUAUUGAGAUAAUAUUACUGUGGCAGGUGGAGAUCCAUUACAUCUUUUCAGCAGCUACAGCCAGAGGGAGUUCAGAGAAUAUGCAUUUGACACAAUAUUCCCUGGACAUGAUGUAUAGACAACAAGCCCUUUUUGUCUUUUCACUAAUCUGGCUUCUUUUGAAACGGCUUCUUUAUUAUAAAACAUAAUAAUUAUAAAAUUAUAAAAUAAAAAUUUGAAGAUUUUGCUGUUACAGUGAGUUAGUAUCCUUUGGUUCAAGAUGCAGGUAGAAUAACUAUAAUUUAUUAUUUGACCGCAUAUUUUAUCAAAAAAAAAAAAAAACAAUGAGUAGGACUAUGUAGAGUAACUCUACACUGCAGAAAAUAAAAAAUAACUCUUGCCUGCACUAAACUGAUCUGGGCAACAAAAGUAUAAAAAAUGAGCAAUGCGAAGACAUGCCACCAUAAAGGUACCAGAAAAGAAGGAGGGGGAAAAAAGCCACCAUGAUAUCUUAAAAUAUAUAUAUCAACAUACAGACAAGGGAUCAGCUUUACACAUAUAACAGAUUUAGCUUACCAAAUUUCAGACACCAAAGAUCAUCACAAGCUCUAUACUCUCAUCAAUGUUUUAAAGUGAUCACGUUAUUAUAACCACCUUCAGAGAGCCAAGAUCAACAUGACAAUAGUGAUAAUAUAUCAUAGGGAAAUCUGAGUAAAAAGAUCAAGAAAUAAAUUUAUUUUCAAUAAUUAAAAGUUGUUCUAACAAAAUAAUUAACAAAUAUUGAGGAGAGCUUAAAGGCCACUUCAAUUAGCAUCUUAUUAGAUGGUGAUAAUGUAAAAGUAAAUCCACAAAGAGACAGAUUAGAAUGCCGAAAAAGAAAACACCAAACACUCAAAAUAUUGCAUACACGAUAUCAAAAGUUAUACCUUUUUCUUUUCCUUAUCUUUGAGAGUUACAAUGCACUCGAGCUAUGACAGCAUGGCGAAAUGCAGAGUGACUGAUGCAAGGACAGAGUGCUGAGAAUCAUAGGUUCACGAAUCAAAAGGUAUGGAACGAAGAUCAAUAGAGAGUAUGAUCUUAAAAAAUAAACAUAUCUAAACAAGAAGAAUACAAUCACUAGCUUGCAUUUUCCAUAAUCAAAAGACUGAACUUGUCACUCUAAUAUGUCAAAUAUGUCCUUGUCUCGCCCACUUGUUUUUGAAAAUGCUCCGAAUGGAAUAAUAUCUACUAAUUGCUUCGGCCCCAGCAAAGAGUUCUAUAUGUUAUACUGAGUGUUAUUCAAAGUACACAACAAAUAUUUUAACAUGUUGCAUCAGUAAGUCAUAUUAAAUUAGAAUUCCCUAAAGCAGAAACAUAAUACAUUCACAUCGAUUGAUCAUCUAGAAUUUUGCCAAGAAAUAAAAAUUCACUAUUUUAACAAAAUCUGACCAUACCCAGCAAAUUACAACAAUAAUUUGAUUGCCAACCAUGAUGGUAUGUCAAAAUUGCAUAUAGUAGCGGUCACAACAAGUAUUGCACAGAUAAAUAGCAGCUCGCCAGAACAAAAAAAUUGCCAAGUUCCUGACAUGAGAAAUAGCAAAAGCAAUUCAUUUUCCAGCAAUCAUAAGCAAAGGUGAGAUCAUUCCCUGUAUCUCCCGCAAAGAAUGCUGUAUCCGUAUCUCCUCCGCAACCAUGCGCUUAAGGUUCCUAACAUGCCCUCUCAUCUCAUCCGACGACUGGAUAUCCUCCACACGCAUCUCAAGAACCCUCUUAGCCAGCCCCAUCAAGAACCUUGCGUGCCUCGGCAUUGUAGCGAAUUUAUGCAGGAACCCUAAUAGUAGCCCAAGCUCAUCCCUAUCCAGAUUCCCAACACACAAAAGAAGCUUCUUCCUCGCCACCAACUCCUCCAUCACGGCCACUAUACUAUUCGGAUUCUUCUUAUUUAGAGCGGCAACAAGAGCAUCCUUGUGCCUGAAUUUCCUCAACAAUUUGUCAUGCUCCGCCAACUUCACCUUCGCAGGUCUCUUUAUGACGAAAUCACUCUCCCCCGGCUUCUCAUUCUGGCCUCUACGAAAGUACCUAAAAUUCGUCGGCCUUAGAACCGGUUUCUCCGGCUUGGGAUUCGACCAGUCAAACUCGCUAGCAGCUGUAGCCCCUUCAUCCUCCUCUUCUUCUCUCUGCUUCUUCUUCUUCCCCAUGUAAAUGAUCCCAUUAGACGUUCCAACAACCCUCAGCAAUCCGGAGGGCGAGAACCCCACCGACAGCAGCUGGGCAGGGUACCGCAUCGAGUGAGUGAUCUUAAACGCUGCAAAAUCAAAAAUUUUGAGAUACCCAUCGAUCGAAACGCUUAGAAGUCUCGAUUCCCCGCCAUCCUUGCCGCCGUCGAGUCCGCCGGUCCUCCCAAGCGACAGCGCUGUGACGGUCUUGUUGUGGCUCUCCACGGAGUGGACGAGCCUCCCGCCGCCAAUCACGUCCCAGAUCUUGACGGAAUUGCCGCCGGCGGAGGCGAGGAGGCCGCCGGACGGGAGGAACAGCACGCUCUCGACAGGGUCGCCGUGGUCAAGGGCCAGCACGGAGUUCGAAUUGGCGGCGGCGCGGACGUCCCACAUCUUGACGACGCGGUCGUAGGAGGCGGUGGCGAAGAGGUCGGGGGAGGCGGGGGAGGCGGCGGCGGCGCGGACGUAGUCGCGGUGGGCGGCGGGGAGGGAGAGGAGGGGGGUCUCGGAGGUGACGUCCCAGUAGGAGACGAGGGCGUCGUCGCCGGCGGAGAGGAGGUGGAGCUUGUCGGCGAGGCGGGGGUAGCGGACGGCGCGGACGGGGCGGGAGUGGGCGCGGAGGCGGCGGAGGGGAGGGGCGGCGCGAUCGGAGCGGAAGACCUGGACGACGCCGGAGGCGCCGCCGGCGGCGAGGAGGGCGCCGUCGCAGCGGAAGGAGGGGGAGAAGGCGACGUCGGAGAAGGAGGAGAGGGGGGAGAAGGGUUUCGGGGCAGGGGAGGGGGAGGAUCCGCCAUGGAAGAGGUGGAUGGAGGCGGAGCAGGCGGCGGCGAGGUCGAAGGGAGGGGAGGGGGAGAACUCGAGGGAGGUGACGGGGAGGUGGAGGUCGGAGACGAGAGGGGAGGUGGUGAAGGAGCGCCAGAAGCGGGACUCGGGGGUUAGGGUUUUGGGGGUGCGGAGAGGAGCGGCGUGGCGGUGGUCGUCGACGGGGAAGAAGGGUUUCUUCGAGGUGGUGUCGGCCAUGGCGGAGGAGUUCGGCGAAGGUUAGGGUUUCGUGGAGGGGAAAAGGAUCUAAUAAGGGUUUUAUUAGGGUUUGGGUUUUGGCGGAAGAGGGAAAACAAUUGCCUGCGCCUGGUGUAUCCGUACGCCUCCUGCACCUCUACUAAUAUUUUAUACUUUUUUAUUAAAGAUCUAAUUUGAUGCACAAUAUAUAAGGCCAGAAUAAUAAUUAAUUUUAUGCUAUUAUGUACUUUGGAAGAGUAUAUAUAUAUAUAGCACUAUAAACUAGGUACAGAGCCAAUCCAACAAAAAUGGCAUAAUUAGGCAGUCACAAAAUUGAGAACAAAAAUGAAAAAACAAAACAACCAAAAAGGAAAAGAAAAAGAAAAAGAAAAAGAAAAAAAAAGAUUUCAUGUUCAAUCAUCUUCAAUAUCCACAACCAAGAUAUCAGAUGCUUGACAUUUUUCCUCAGUAAGAAAUCGCGCAUCGAGAGACGCGAUUGCGUUCAGGAACUUUAUAUGCCCAAUAACCUGAGCACCGGUGAUUUUCGCGAGGUCGGCGGCCUCCUUGACCCUUUCCUCCUUAACCUUGAUAAGAUUGCCUGUACUGCAUUCAUUCGGAGGGUCUUCAUUGUAAACAAAGUAUAAUUCUGGAGAAGAUCCAUUCGCAGUUGAGCCCGACGCUAACAAAUUGAUUACUCCAAGGAUUUUUCCACCGGCCGCCACUCCGAGGUCCUCGAGGCAGACCUUAUACAAAGGAACUAUGUAGUCGCUGAGACAAAAACUUAGUCCUGCGAAUAACUUCGGUGCCUGUAAACAAGCACGGAUUAAAAGUGAGAGUAUUUGCCACGCGCAAAUUCGUACAUGUGAAUACAGGUUGCAGUUUUAUAAGCAGAAUUCUGCAUCUCAUAGAAUGCAAGAAUUGUUGUUAAUGAUUGAAAAAGAGAAUUGCAGCAUUUGUUAAAGAAAGCGAAAAAUGAAUUUCAAAGUGUGUGCAAGAGCAACAGAGAGAGAAAGAGACCUUUUCCAUAGCCCUGAUUCUUCCCUUUUUGGGCCCAUCGAAGGAUCCAUGGAGAUCAAAGGCGACUUCAAACGGCUCUUCGGAAACUGGGUGUCCAGAUUCCAUGCAGGCCUCGACCCCUGAAAAGCCACAUCUAGUUUAGUGACAUAAAAUGUAUAAGUAAUAAAAGAAAUAAAUGAUGACCACAUAGCAAUGAACACUAAAAACAUAUACUGAAUAUUAGAAAAAGAUUCUGAGUACGUAUGAGUUUCAAAAUGCCUGGUUUGUCACACACAGCACCAAACUUUCAGUGUAAGUUCUAAUUCAGAGUUGAUCACUAUAGUUUGACGUGCAAGUUUUGUCACAGAUUUUUUGAAAAUAAAACAAAUUAAAAGUGCUUUCGCUACAGAACAACUAUCAAGUAAAAAAAAACUCAAGUAGAAAUGAAGAGUUGAGAUUGAAGGUUAAAGUAGCGCUUACAUGUCAUUCUAACCACCCAUUUUCCAUGCAAUAUAGCCAUGAGGACCUUGUGUGAUCUUCUGCAUGCGACUCUGCCGUCCGUGGAUGUGAUAACAUGAGUAACAUUUUGUCUCCAAUUUUUCACCAUGGUUGCACCAGUCAAAAUUGCAAAUUUACUAAGAAGAUCCUGAAAAGACAAUUUAAGUAAUGAUUGAAGCUACGUACAAAAACCCAGACGCCAAAGACAAAAAAGUUUUGGAAUUUGACUUUUCUUAAAACUUAGUGACGAUAUAAUGUAGUGAAGAUAUAAUAUAACGAAAGCUAAGUAUUGAGAAAUAUAUCUUCUGAGUUUACCUUCUCUGAUUGAGUGAGAGCAGAUCCCAGUAAUAUCCAUUCAUUAGGACGAUUAAGUUUGAGUUCAGAGACUUGACCGCUUCGCUGUCCUUCCUCAUUAGAAGGGUUCCUGGCAAAGAUAAUAUAGAACACCGAACUUGCUCCGUUUACUGUCAAUCUAGUAAAUAAAAUGCUCGAGCCAAGCUUACAGUACGUAGGAAAUGAAAGAAGGCUUAGAGAAUGGAAGCAUACAUCUGAGUGGACGAGGAACAAUUAUUUUCAACCAUCUUCAUAGAGUCUUCAUCACAAGGUAAUUUCUUAGAUGAAUGAGAAGGACAGAGAACAUGGAAAUUUUUCUGUGACAAAAAAAAAAAAAAAAAAAAAAAUCAAGAAAAUCGAGAACCAGGGCCUUUAACAAUGAUAUAUAGUGAAGAGCUACUCACACAAUCCCAACGACAAUCCGGAAUGUCAAUAGCACACGGAACAUGAAAGCUCUUCCUACAGCUCUUGUAAUAACAGCCGAGAGCUGCUCCAUUCAGCCCACAUUUGCUGCAUUUUAUCUGUGACGCACGUGCCAGUUCAACCUCGAAGUUUAUAACAGUAUCACCGGAAAAAUAUAUUUGGGGGGACCUGCAUUACAAAACCGAUCAUUUUGUAAGAGAAUGGAGAUUUCAACCAUUCUAACAUCAACCAAGAUACUACGAUUACAAAUUAAAUGAAGUCACUAGUACAUCAGAUUGACUAAAACGAAAUGAAACAUCACAAAGAUGAUAAACUUGUCUCAAAAAAUUAAAUGCAGUAUUUUUAAUUAUUGAACCAAAAUGCAAUAGCCUGUACUUUCCCCCAAAAACCCCGCACACUCCCCACCUCCCCCUCCCUUUUUCUUGGGCCAAAGUAAAAAUCUAGCAGGUUGUAAUAGUUUUAUUCUUCAACAAAAGUCAAUGAAAAUAAUGAAACCAUUUGUAGAGAGCAAUACCAGUCAAAACAUUUCUGAUGAACAUGCAUGACAUUGGAGUGAUUGGCUUCUUCAGCUGCUACCAGCUCUCCAUUUACAUAACACAGCAUCGGACCAGAAGCCUGAUUGAACCAAAAAGUUAGAAAGACAAAUAUCAAAUAGAACACUAGUUCAGGAGAUCAAGAGAAACUUUCGACGAAAGUUCUCUACUUAGGAAGUCAGCUACAUAGUAAAGUACACAGAUAGUGUCCAGUUCUACCAGUGAAGUAAAAUAAAGCAUUUGUAGAAUGGUGAUUACCUCAGUGGUCCUAAAUGUAUGGCAAAAUACACAUUCGUCAACGUACAAUUUAGUAGGCGUACACAGUGGUUGCUUAUUAACCUGCCCGCAUUGGAAAUUCUUCACCUUUUCUUGCUUAGUUCUCUUUGGGCCUUUAACAACCUCUUUGGUUUGACACCUCUUUUUCAGCAUACUAUUUUGUCUAUCAGAUAGUUGGGACUCAGAAGUCGAAAGAUCCUUGCAAGAAGGCAAUGUGGUUUCUCUUGUCGUAUGUGUUUCAAUUUUCUCAAACUCAACCUUCGCUGAUGAUAAAUUGUUUCCCUGGAAUGGCAUCAAUUCAAUAACUAGUUGAAAACAGAAAAUCGUGUAUAAACACUGAACACAAACCAGUAUCGUGGAUAGCUUAAAAAGGAAGAUGUCGUUCAUACAUUACAAGAGAAACUAAGGCCUACCAUUACAUCAUCCUGCUUUAUGAUCUCAUAUCCUGCACAAUUCAAUAUACCUGCGUAUAGUGGAUUUUUGCAAUCUAUGCAUCUAUGUGGUUUGAUUGGAAACAAAAAACACUUUUUUUUUUGGUUUCCUGAAAAAUAAAAGAUUAGUUGGAGCGUAAUGGUAACAAUAGGGAAGCCCAAGUACCGGCAUCCAGCAUAUUCAAUCAGCAAAAAAAAAAAAAAAAAAAAAAAAAAAAAAAAAAAAAAAAAAAAAAAAAAAAAAAAAAAAAGUGUUCAGAACAAACAAUGUAAGCUUUGCCAUAAAGAAGGCCUGAGAUGUCUGUUACCAAUCAUAAAUCAUGCCAUUGGCACCUCAGCUUCGAAGUAUCUCAGAUGAUCGCAUACAGAAAAGAAAAAAGUUAACGUUCAAUGACAGCACAAUGAUAGAGAAUGUGAUUUCAAAUGAUCUUCUACAACUAGUAAUGUCCAAGUAGAAGAACUGAAACAGUAGCUUAGAAACUAAAUUUAUCUCUUCAACAAAUCAAUCAUCUCUCCAUGCGUACAUAUUUAAAGUGAUUCGUGAAAUUAAUUACUAGUGUACUACUACUUUCUAUAGACCAUGUACUGAAAGGAAGUACCUUCAGUUAUGAAUAAUUUUUCAGGAAAAUACCUCCAUUAAACCAGGUAUGGUUGCUGAAGAGUCGCGUUGUCUAGUGGGUUCACUAUUGUGAGAUCGUCUUUCUUGACAGAUAUCAGCAAUAGAAGAGUCCAUAUCUCUGAAAAUAUUUACCAUAGCUCCCAUGUGAACAGAAUGUCUAACAUCUGCGAAUAUUAAACUGAAGAAAAAUGAGGAUUAAAAGGGCAUUUGACCAUAACUUAGAAUCAUGUUAGAAGAAACACCUUUGUCGAGAAAAGUACAGUUGCAAGCUGGACAUUUUGCACUUUGUUCCAUCUGCCGAUGAAUACAAUCACUAUGCAUGUUCGAUCACAUCAAUCAGUGUAACCACUUUAUAAGUAAAUUUUCUCCCAUUGAACUUAAAAGAUAGAGUUAGAGCACAAAAUACCCACAAAACAAGUGAUUGCAAGGUAGCAAUGUUGGUAUUUUUAGCAAGUUUAAGCUGCAAAAAAAUGUAGAACAAUAUUAGCAUGCCCGGAAACAAAUAAAAUUCCUAUAAAGAAAUGGUGUGCUAGAUCAUAAUUUAUCAAAUACACCUCAUGACUUCUUUUUCUUUUUUUUUAAAAAAAAAGGAACAAAUGCUGUUGUAAACAUAACAUAGGCAAUUUAAACUAUUACAUGCAAAAGAGUACUUUGAAAUGUUUCCAUUUUUAUGUAGUUCUUAUAGUUGGCAUUUAAAUUGAAAAAAAAAAAGGCAUGCUUUGAGUUUUAGUUGUACAUCAACAUCAAAAAAAUUUAUUGGAUACAAUAUUAAUAUAUUAUUGGCCCAAAAUGAUUAUGGAAUAUAGAUACAUAAAUGCACAUAUAAUGAUACUUUAUAGUAGGCAGUUGUUCAUCCACACCAAGCUCUGGAUAUUACAUAAGAAAUAAUGCAGCAUAUUUCACCGAAAUAAACUCUUAUUAGCUUUAUCAAAUAAAAAAGACAUUAUUUAAAGCAAAAAUAAAAGAAAAAGGAAUGUCCAUCUACUAGGAAAAACACCUAGACUCAUGCACUAUGAAAACAAUGAAGAGAAAAGAGAUGUCUUAUUCUUAUAUAAAAACGUAAUCUAUUUGCAAACAGUAUUUCUAAUAUUUGAAAGGUAAAAUAUAUAGACUUACCUGAACUACGGACCAUUUUGGUUUAGCAAUCCAAGCUUUCAAAAUUUUGAUUUUACUACAUAACUUUUCAAUUUGUUUGAUUUGAUCAGUGAACAGCAUUUUGACUUCAAAAUUGAAUGCUUCGUUUAUUUUUAUUGGUUUAGUUAGUAUAUUUCAUUUAAUUUUUGAAAUUAUAAAUUCUUCAAAGUAGGUAAUUAGCUUAAACUUUGAAACCAAUGUGCCAUUAAUCAAAUAAAAAAAGUGAACAGUUGGGUAGUAAAAUCAAAAUUUUGAAAGAUUGGGUUAGCCAAUUCAAAAUGAUUUAUUGUUCAGGAAUAGUUUCGUAUGUUUUUACCUAUUUUAAAGUUAACAAUGUCCCUCGUUACAACAGCUGACACCAUGAUAGUGACCAUACGUAGGCAUCAGUUUUUUAAAUAUAAAAAUAUAAAAAUACCAUUCUCCAUUAGCUUAAGCUUUUGGAGAAUAACGGUUGUUUCAUUUAAUUUAAUGUGGUAUUAGAACAGGAGGUUCUAAGUUCGAGUCACGCCAGACUACUAGCAUAAUUGAUUUCCUCCUAUUUAAUUCAAGUUCACAUCAUAGGUCUAUCAAAAACUCUCGAACCCAGAUGUGAGGGAGAGUGUUCGAUAUAAAAAUAUUAUUUUCUAUUAGCUUAAGUUUUUAGCAAAUAACGGUUGCUUCAUUUAAUUUAAUACAACUAAAAAGAGGAAACAAAAGACAAAUAAAAAGAGAUAUGGAACUUAAAACGAUUCAAACUCACGGCCUCCUACUUUGUUAGCAUGUGAAACAGUUGUUUGUCUCUGAAAGAUUAAGCUAAUGUAGAGUGGUGGUUUAAUAUCUUAAACUCACCGACCGUCCCUAGAGCAAGUGGCAAAGGGCUUGGUGGUUGGUACCCAAGACCCAAGUUCGAAUCCUAGUUGAUUCACAUUUCCAGCUAAGUUUACUUCUAAAUGAAAUAAACGAAGCGGGUAGCGUGCUAUCUAUCUCUCUCAAAAAUAUAUAUAUAUAUAUAUAUAUAUAUAUAUAUAUAUAUAUAGGCCAUGGUUACUAUACUAUUAUGAGUAUUGGACCCCUACUUCAUAAGUUGUUCUCAAUGAUAGACCUUCCGAAUCGACGAUCCACUCGUUAACAUGAAUCUAGAGUAUUUGAAACUUCUAACAAAAUAAAUUUCGUGAAUUUUCGAAAUCAUAAUAAAGUCCAUCAAGUGGGCAUAAAAUGAACGGUCAAAUCAAUACCGUUUAAACGCUAUUUACAAGCCUAUAUUUCGUUAAAUUUUUCAUCCAAUGUUAUAACCCUAUAUAUAUAUAUAUAUAUAUAUAUAUAUAUAUAUAUAUAUAUAUAUAUAUCUUAUAUAUCUUAAACUCCAAAAUUUCUAAUUCCGGUUUACCAACUUCUACUAAAAGUAUUAGGAAAUUAUUUUUAGUACUUUUCAAUAAAAUUCCUAAUUAAGUUGGCAAAAACAUUCAAUAUAAAAAAUUAGAACUUAACAAAUAUCAAUGCAAAAAGAAAUUUAAAGUCGAAAGGGCCACUUCAAAAUAGUUUACAGUUCAGAAGGGUCUCCUCACAAUUAACCUAAACAGGGAUGGCAUAUGUUUCCCUCGUUUUAACGAUCAAAUAUAUCCUUCUUAAGCUAACAUUCUUUUUUCCUACAAAAAAACCAAUCUACCGUGGAAAUUUUAAUUUUUUAAAUUUUAUUCAACAUUUAUUCCAACUAUUGUAUCAUUCUACGUGAACCCUAAAUUAUAAAUCCUGGAUAUAAUAGCAAAAAUUAAUCGUGAACGACGAAAUAAUCAACCUAUAGGUAUAAAUGUACAUAAUUUUGAGCGGUAAAGAAUACAUUUGAUAAUUAAGAUUUUGCAGGAACAAAUCCACAACUUCAAAAUCUUGCAGGAAUACACAUGAAAUUUAUCAAAAAAUAAAAGAAAAGAAAAAAAAAUACCAAAUGGAGCAUUUGAGCUCGGUCUCCAUCCUCCGUAGAUGGUGGAAAAACGGGCUCAAAAUUCGAACCAAUUCCUCGCAUUUCGCCAUUUCCAAACCCCUCUCCCCACAACCCAAAAACACAAAAAAAUAAAUAAAUAAAUAAAAUCGCGAGAGCACUCGAAAGGUCGAAAUGUAGAGAGAGAGAGAGAGAGAGAGAGAGAGAGGAGGAGGGUUUAUGUUAAAAGUUUCAUUUUGAAGCGGGUUUAUCCGAGUACUAUUUUAUAUUUUAAUAAAGUAGGUUUGUACCUUUGAUUGGAUCAUGACACGUGGACGGAUAUGAUUCGCCAGAAGCCAAACCGUUUUUGGGAAAUUUUUUUUAAAAAAAAAGAUGGGAUAUUUUUUUGCCACCAAGUUUUAUUUUUUUGUACUAAAAAAUUUUUUAAAAAAAUUUAAAUAUCAUUCUUGUAAUUACGUAUUUUUUUAUUUUAAUAUUAUAUUUAUAAUGAAUCAUUUUCAUAUAGGUUCCGUUUUUUUUUUUCUUUAUGAUAUCUCUUUAUUAAUUUUUUUUAUUAAAUCGGUGACAAGAUUAAUACCAUAAAAUACUAAAGUAAAAUUGGAUAAAUCGUAUGAUCUAAAAUAAAUAUUCGAUAAAUUAUAUGUAAAAUAUCUAAAAUUUUUUAUAUAUAAUUUAACGAAGAGAUAACGUAGGCGCUGACGAAAAGAAUAAAAUAAAGCCGCAGGGUGCUAAAGUGAUACAGUUUAAAUCACAAAAUAUUAAAGUGAAAAAGCACGAAACAUAUCGGUGGUAUUUAAUAUUUAUCCAAACUUUUAUGUACCACAUUAUCUUAAUUAAUUUAUUAUUUAUUGGAUAUAAGUUUACUUUGUACAUUGGCUAGUGAGGCUAUUCUUAUUAUUAUUUUAUAGUGUAAGAGAAAAGUCCAAAACUUUUUGAAAAAACUUCAAAAACCCUACAUGGUUUCGCACUUUUUCAUUUUAGUACCAUAUGAUUUAAAAUAUAUCAAGUUAGUACUAUGUGGUUGCUCACUUUAUCAUUUUAGUACCCUGUGGUUUAAAGUAUAUCAAGUUAGUACUCUGUGAUUUUUUUUUGUAUAGUAUCCUGUGAUUUUAUUUUUAUAUCAAGUUAGUACCCUGUGAUUUUUAAACCACGGGAUACUAAAGUGAUAAAGUGCGAAACCACAGGAUACUAAAGUGAUAAAAUGCGAAACCACAUGGUACUAAGUUGAUACAUUUUAAACUACAUGGUACUAAAGUGAAAAAGUACAAAACUAUAAGGUACUAACUUGAUACACUUUAAACCACAUGGUACUAAAGUGAGAAAAAGUUAAACCACAAGGAGGGUAUUUGAAGUUUUCCCAAACUUUUUUAAGCAAUCUAAAACAGCAAAAUGGGAUACUUAUUUUGCUCCCAACAUUUUCAAACAAGGCCCUUUAAAUGAUUUAGUUUUUCUUAGAAUAAAAAAGAACUUAAAAUUUGUGUGAAAAAUUAGAAACUUAAGAAAUAACAAGUGUGGGCUGGUUACUAAUUUUUUUUAGAGAGAUAGGUAGCAUGCUAUCUGUUUCAUUUAUUUUAUUUUAAAAAUAAACUUACCUGAAAAUGUGAAUCAAUUAGGAUUCGAAUUUGGAAUCUCAGAUACAAAUCAUCAAAUUUUUUGCCACUUGCGCUGAGAAACAGUUAGUAACUAGGCAAAUGGUUAAAAUGGGAAAUGGUGGUUGUAGGUUUCAUGGAUGUUUGAUGAGUUAGGUCAUGGUAAAAAAAGUGAAGUGAUGGUUUCUUUAAUUUGGUUUAAUUAUUAGGUGCUUGUAUGUGACGGAAAAAACCACUAAACCAGAAUUUUGCCUAUAAAGAAUUUAAAUAAUUUUUUAAAUUUUAUUCAAUAAAAUUAUAGCAUUAGGUCAAAAAAAAUUUAGCUCAUACGAAUCGUAGGCUUCAUGGUUUCGUUUGAAAUUACGGAGAAAUUAAAUUAAGUACAGAGAUAAAAUAAUAUUACGUUUCGCAUAUCGUAAUGAAUCAGUUAUAAUAAAUUUUUUAAUAGAAAAAAAAAUAAAGAAGCCUAUUAUGUUUUUGGUUUAAUUAUUAAGUGAUUGCAUGUGACCAAGGAAACCACUAAACCAGAAUUUUACCUUUAAAAUUUUAAAUAAUUUUUUAAUUUUAUAUUAAUAAAAAUUAUAGUAUUAGUUAAAAAAAAAUUUUAACUCGGAUAGAUCUUAGACUUCGUGAUUUCGUUUGAAAUUGUGGAGAAAUUAUAUUACGUAUAGAAAAAAAAAAUAUUGCGUACCAUGUACAUAACCAGACGGUUACAAUAAAAUUUUUUACUGUUCCAUAAAAAAAAGAGAAAACUUCAAAAACCCCCCUGUGGUUUCAUAGUUUCUCACUUUGCCCCCCUGUGGUUUAAAAUGUAUCAAUUUGCUCCCUUGUGGUUUUUUUUUCUCUUUUUCUUAUCAAUUUUAUUAUUUUUUUUUUCUUAAAUCAGUGAUAAAGUUAAAAUUAAAAGGUACUAAAGUGAAUAUUUGAUAAAUCUAGAUGGAUAUCUGAAGUUUUUUUGUAUAUAAUUUAAUAAAAUAUUAACGAAAAAACUAUCGAAAAGAUAAAAACGAAACCACAUGGGGCAAUUUGAUAUAUUUGAAACCACAGAGGACGAAGUGAGAAACUACAAAACCACAGGCAAGGUGUUGAAGUUUUCCCAAAAAAAAAAAAACCCUCAUAUGCUCUAUUUUUCAACUUUACUUUAUCAGUUAGUGUUGGGCUUUUUUUCAAUUUAGGCCCCGGCAAAUUUUUAUUUUAAAAAUAGCCCUGUCAAAAUUUAAUUUGCAAAAAUAGUUCUGGCCUUGCAACGCAGGUGCCACGUCAGCACCACGCGGCUAGGACUGGGGUCAGUGUGUUAAGUUGAACACGGUGAACCAUUCACCGUGUUCAAACACGGUGAAUGAUUCAUCAUAUUUCAUAUUUAUAUUUUUUUUCUUCUCUUUUAGGGAUGUCAACGGGUCGGGUUUGAAUCGGAUUUUUAAAAACCCGAAAUCGAAUCUGAAAAUCAAAUUAAAACCCGAACACGAAUCCGAGUCCUGCGGGUUUUAAAAAUCCAUACCCAUAUCCAUAUAUUAAAGUUAUAUGGGUAUGGAUUUUUAAAACCCGCCGGGUUCGAAAAUCCAAACCCGACCCAUUGAUAUCCCUAGGAAUAUUAUAAAUAUGAAACACGAUGGGAAUAUAAAUAUAAAACACGGCAGUGUUUGAACACGGUGAAUAACUCACGGUGUUCAACUUAACACGCUGGCCCCUGCCCUGCCCGCGUGGCGCUGACGUGACGCUUGUAUGGCAGGACAGGACCAUUUUUGCAAAUUAAAUUUUGAUAGAACUAUUUUUAAAAUAAAAUUUUUUCAGGGGGCCAUUUGCAAAAAAUGCCCUCAGUUAGUGUUAGGUAACAUCAAUGCCAAACGGGACCUUAUAUAUAAAUAUAGUAUUUGUAAAACACGAAAUGUUUACUUCCCCAUUGUUAUCAACAAUAUAACAUCCGAAUUAAUGACUAGUUUCAUUAAAUAUUAUUUUCGCUAUUUAAACUUUUUAAAAUUAAAUUUUAUAAUUUUACAAUAUCUAUAUGCUUAGUGAUCAAAUAGUGUCAAAUUCAUCUUAUAUAUAUUUAGCCAAUAAAACUUAUCAAAGUUUAAGCCACUUAGAAACUAGACAAAUAAUUCAAAAAUUAUAAAAAGUUAAAACUUAAAAGAUUUAAAAUUUCAAAAUAUAUUUAACGGUAUCGAUCAUCAAUUCAGAUGCCUCGUUCAUAAAAAUAAACGCCAAGGUAAACGACCUCAUAUUAGGCAAGUUAUGUACGAGAAAUUCUACACUGUUACACUUGCACCACAUCAUCAAUAACAAACCAAUCACAUUCAUUUUUUCAAACAAAAGUACAAUAAAAAUACUUUUUUACAAUCAUGAUGGGACAUAUAUUCUUAAAAGGAUUAAUUUGAUUGGUUUGUUACGCCACGUCACUAAUAUACCCGUUGCAUUCUAGAAUUUUUCGUUAUGUACACAUAUAAUUGUCAUUAUUGACUACCAUUGGCAUCAAUGUUACUAUGAACUUGUUUAUUUAAUACAGCAUUAAUCUAAAAAUUAUAUGUUCAUAUGUACCUUAUGACAGUAUGAAAGAAGGAAAAGAUUAAAAAAAAAAACAGAGAAAAGAAGAAAAAAAAAAAACUUUCAAAAAUUAUCACUUGAGUAAAAAUAUAUAUAUAUAUAUUAUAUUUUUUUAAGGAAAAACAAUAAUGUGGAGAUGCAAUCACUUAUUUUCUGCACUCAGAGAGAUAUAUAGAUCUUUACAAAUUAAUGCACCCACCCAUCAUACCACUAAAAGCCCUACAUACAAUAUCAAGUCAAUUACUCAGUUGGCUCAAAGCUUGCUACAAUCUUUAACAUCUAGAGAGAGAGAGAGAGAGAGAGAGAGAGAGAGAGAGUAUUAUUAACCCAGCAACAGACAGAAAUGAGGUUAUUACCCGCCAGCCGCCGUCAUGAAUUAAUCAGCAGAAGAGGGACCACUUGCAGACAUGCAGAACAAGAGUAGGGCGAAGAGAAAGCCGAGCAAAAGAAACCGACGAUAUCUGAAACAGAGAGGAUCGAUCAUCUCUGCGGAGGCUCCAACGUCCGCACAUUUGGGCCCGUCAUUCCCUCGAGCCUGUCUUUGGUUAUCUCGACAAAGUGACCGAUCAUUUCGUAGAACUGCUUCAGACCGGAUAAGGGAAGGAUUAUAGACGAGCGAUCUGCUCCGGCCACCUACAAGCAUUUAAGUAAGAGCUGAAGAAAAGAAAAGAAACAGUAGACAAGGAGAGACAAACAGAUCCCCCAACACAAUCAAAAUUUGAAUUUCUGAUUGCCACUUCCUCAAUUUGUUAACAGAAAUUUCAAUUACCAGGUCAGUGAUGUACCUCGGAAAUCCUCAGGAAAUGGCCCCGGUUGUUGCUUCCCAAAUCAAAGUAGAACCGCUUUUGAUCAGCGCGAAUAACUUUAGAUAAACCCGAGUUCCCGACUUCAUCCUGCGGGGGCAGUUCGACUAUUCUUUCCACGUUCAAGUCCGAACCUGGAACUGCAGGAGAACUGCUGUGGCCGGGUAUGAAACCGGCACCCACAUCAUCUGAGAGCCCCGCAAGGUGCUCUGGAGGUUCCAUAUGUUGCUGCUGCUUUUCAAAGAGGAAACGUGGUCAUUACAUCAGGAUGCAACUGCGCAACAUUAAGGACGAGAAUAGGAGAAAUUUAAUGUGAAAUUACCUGAUUGGGUACGAUGUAAAGCCGCGAGGCUUCCUCAUUUAUUUCCAGUAAAAUGUUUCGAAAUGCAGCCCAUCCUUCUUCGCCGGAGCUUCCUGCAGGAACAAUGAUUGUACUGCGAUUUCUGUUAGCGGAUGCUUCGGACACCUAACAAGAAAAACAAUUUAUUAGCUGUUCCGAACGCACUCAGUUGACCAUAUGAGCCAAAACAAAAUAAGAUAAUUCUCAGCAAUUCCAAAUAGGAAACCAUUAUCACAUAAAUGUACAUUAACAUAUUGAUAUAAGAAUACAAGAUAUUUGCUUCCUCAGCAAGUUUCGGCUGCAAAAAGGGAUCAUUAUAUUGCCUAGACAGAGAAAUACUCGACCAAAGACUACCCAUUAGAAAAUGAAACCUGUCCAAUAUCAACAAAAAUAUUCUAAAUCCUCCCUCAGCGUUGACAUCACUAUUUGAAUGUGAUUUUCUACUCUAAUGUUCCGUUCUUAAAAGUCUCCAAAAAAUAAAGGGUCGCUACACCUCAAAAUCCAUGAGUCUUCCGUAAUCUUCCAUGAAAGCCAUUUGAAAGAAGAAAUGCCUGGAAAUUUAGGAGUUUCCAAGGGGCCUAGAGCUUCUUGAUAUCUUUUACACUUUCACUAUAAUUUUUCCAAAAAAAAAAAAUCCCAAAUAAAACUUCUAAAUAAAUAAACAGAUCAGCCAUCGAUCUGCAUACAGGCAUAACUAUUGUUGCUACUUGUUUAAAUAAACCAGAUCUUACAAUUCCUUUUUUUUUUCUACAUUACCAAUGAAAGCACCACCAGCAAAGAUAUCGACGGCCAAAAAUAUGAUGUGGAUGCACCACGUGGUAAAAGACACAAGGUCUAAAGCAUCUAUAAUGCAGUUGUGAAAGGAUUGUGGCACCAAUUAAACCAGUCCUACGGAGACCUGCAUGCUAAGCUCUCUCCCUUAACACCCCACAACCAAACCAAAGAAAAAAAAAGGAAAAUAAGAAAACAAAAUUCCUACACCGACUAACCUCAUCCCAAGCCUAAGUAGGCACAAUUCUCUACCUCUGCAAAACAUUAAGCUGAUAACAUGAUGCAUGAAUAAGCAUAUACAGCAUAGGUGUGGGGGGGCUGGACUAAUGUUUCCGUAUGAUUAAUGGACUACAAUCAGCUUUUUGCAAAGGCUUGCUUUUAUAAAUAAACCGGUCAAAAAGUUCAAUCAGCGCCCUUUAUGUAAUCCUCCUAAACUAAAUAGGCCUGCAGUUAAACAGUACCGUUCAUAACCAGCAAUCCAAAACAUUUUAGAGUUUUGAGCAGCUAAGAUUUUUACAUACGUUGUGAAACAGGCUCCUUUUACAUAUUGAACAAGUAAAUGUAGCCACUGAGAUAACAAAACCAUUAAAGUUAUUGUUUCAAAAACAGCAAUCAAAUUCUCGAGAUUGCGCAUCCCCUAGAUUUUCUAUGUGAUAUGGAUCAUAUAGGAAUCCAACUUUCUUAAGAUUAGCAUCCAAUAUCGCAUAGGAUCACUUAGGAUCGCGUAGGACUGCAAUCAUCCCAAAAUUCUACUCUUACAUAUUUUUCAUACAUAUCAUGGGUACUUAUACUGGCCCACAACACUUCAGAAAUAUUAAUAUAUAACAUUGAGCGAUUCAAAUUUAUAUAUUUUGAAUCAAGCAAUUGUCACUCGUGCUCACCUUUGAAUAAAAUUUGUUAAGAAAAUAUCUCUUUCUUGCAUUAUAAGAAGACAUAUAAGCAGCUAAAUACGACCUCGGAAGCCUAAUACAUUUAAUAAUUGGAAGUCACAAAGGAGUAAAUUAUUAUUCUUUUAUCACAACAUAUAAUCCAAGUAAAUAAUUUGAACCAUUGAUCCGUUACUCACAAAUCCAUCAUUUAGGGGGUGUUUGGUUUCCCCAAAAACAUCCCAACAAUAAAUUUUUGGCCGGAGAAAUAUUUUUUUCUAAGAUUUUACGGAAAAGUAGUGUUUUUGUUAUCCGAAUUUUUUAUCCAGAUAAAGAAAACUGUGGAAAAGAGUAGUUUCCAUGGAAAGCUUUUAUUCUCAUAGCAUCCCAUACGAAAGCGACAAAGGAAAAAAAACAACAUAAAUUAACAUUCCGCAGAAAACAACCAGAGUUAUAUACCUUCAAAAAGCGGCCUCUUUUGUUCUCGCCGAUGUCAAAGUAAAACACCUGCAAUCAACUACAACAGAUUAAAAUCACAACACUGCGAGUGAAAAAAGAGCUCGGAAUUGGAUAUUUCGCAUCUCCCAACCUUGGUAUCGAGCUUGAGCUCCUUGCUAAACGCAUCGCGCUCGUCGGUGUUGAUGUAGUAAUUGAAGAGAUCGAGGAACCAAACGAUGCCAUUCACGGGGACGAUAAUGGUGGAUCUGGUCGCCGAGGUCUUCUCGGAGAUCUUGAGGUACCUGCCGCGAGGGUUCUCCUUGAGAUCGAAGUAGAAGAGCUUGUGCUCGAACUGGAGCGUCUUGCACACGAGCUCCACGUCGUUCCCCCCCGAUCCUCCCACCUCCAUCGCUGCAACCCCACGAAGAGCCCUAGAAACCCUAGAUCCCCUGGGCAAGACGACGGCUCCUCGAGGGCGAUCGAAGGAGAGGGGUCGCGGGGGCUAAUUAGGGUUAGGGUUAGGGUUUGGGGCCAUGAGGUUUGACCCGGGGCCAUCGCUCGCGCCCGUCGCGGUCGCCUUUUUAAAUCGAUCUCCUCCGAAAGAGUCGGAGAUUUUUUUUUUUUUUCCUUUUUUACCUUUUUUCACCCCCUUUAUUUUCCCCCAUUUUUUACGAGGCUGCGGCGCGAGGGGUUUUUUACAUAUUAGUUUUUUUUUUUUUUUUUCAACCAAUCACCAACUUGCGCGCGCGGGCGCGGGGAACGACUCGGAGCGCCGGGUGAGCUAACGUGCGCACGUGGUGGUUGGGCUCGGGCCCAACAAAUGGGUUCAGACCACGUAAUUGGGUCAAAUUAUAAUCUAGGACUCAAAGUAACGUUGGACUGGGCCGUACUAGUAAUUUCGAUUUGGCUAUUUUUCUUUUUUUAAAAAAAAAACAAUGCUCUGCUGCCCCGUGAACUUUAAACUGAUCGUAGUUUGGCACUUUGGAGUUUGCAAAGUUUAAAUUAGGAAAAAUUUCAAAUACCAUCCAUGUGGUUUAGCGCUUUUUUAUUUUAAUAUCUUGUGGUUUAAACUGUAUCAGUUUAGUUGUUUUUGUUUUUCUCUUUUUAUUAUUUUUUUUGCUAAUCUUUUAGUUAAAUUAAUGAGAAAGUUAACACUAUAGGGUACUAAAGUAAAAAAUUUCGUAAAUCACCGAAUACUAAAAUGAAUAUCCAAUUAAGACUUUUUUUUCUAUAUAUUUUAAUGGAGAAUACUAAAGUGAGAAAACAUUAAACUACGGGAGGAUAUUUAAAAUUUUCUCUUUAAAUUAUUUACAAGACUAGCCAUUACAAACAAUCUAAACUAUUCUAGUCGCAAAAUUUCAUAAUUUUUCGAUAUUAUUUUAUUAUAAUAGCUAAAUUGAUGUUUUUCAAUGACAAAUAUUAAGUGAAUUUAAAAUCAUUUGAUAACAAGAUUAAUGAUGCACAUGAAAUUAUAAAAUGUGAUUUCUAUAAUAUUUAUCAAUGCGUGUCAUUAAUUCAGAACCUCAGACCAUUUUUUUUUUCUUUGUUAGAAAAGAGAAAAAGAAAUAUAAUAUAAAGCACCAAGCAAAAAUAUAAUAUAAAGGAAAAAAGAACAAAUAAAAUCCCAAAACCAACAGAGAGAUGCAUGUAACGAACGAAGACCAAACCUAAAUAAAUAAAAAAUUAAGCAAAAAAAAAUAUAAAAAUAAAGCAACAACUGGUUUCCAAAUAAUAAAGCCACAUUAAAAUAGAAAUAUCCAGACAAAAUUCUACACUCCAGGUGCUCCAUAAACUCAAUUCUAACACUAAAAAGAGAGUAUCUCAGCCAUGUUUUCUCGCGGUGUCGGCGAUAAAACCAAGCAAUUAAGGCAAUUUUAGUCUUAAAAAGAGCAACUGGCUAAUGAAAUACUAGGGGACGCGGUAAAGCGCGGAUCGAGCGUUUCAGCGUUUCCCGCCGCCGCCGCCGAGCUUCGGGCCUUUGGGAGCCUUGGGCGCGCUACCCUUUGUCUGCGUCUUCUGAGAUUUCGCCAUCUGUUCGGCCUUCUUCGAUUUCUUCUCCUCCUUCGUCUUCUUUAUGCGCUCCUUGAUCUCACUGUCGAAUAGGAACACACUGUAAGGUACUCGAAGAGAAAGGAAUAGAAUAAUGAUUCGCAUAUAUAAGAACGAUGAGAAUGGAUUGAUGUAGCAAAGAGAAAUGAAAGAUGCUGGAACAAAAUCUUAAUUUAUACACAACAAUGGAGCGGUUGAGCUUAAUGAUUUUCAAGUCAAAUGUUUUUAGAGUUUUCUCGUGGAAUUUUUAUUACCAAGGAAACAAUAAGAGCAACGAGUAAGGGAAGAGAACUGUACCGAAGAGCAGCUUCUCUAGCUGCAUCACGAACUUCAGCCUUCUCGGUUCUCUUCUUUUGAAUAACUUCAAGGGUGGCGCCGACAAUCGACCUCGAAUAUGGCUUCUUGGUGGUACGGCGCCUCUUUUUGACAGUUUCAGCGUGAAUAUCCUACAGACAUAAGUUCAAAUCAUCACAAUCCAUCUGGAUUACAUUAAUGCAGCUAUAAUACAUCAGAACUGCAUGGCAUUGCCGAAACAAGUAGAAGAAGUGCUACAGUUCAAUUAUAGAUAUAAGAAACAAAGGAGCUAUUUAAGGUUACAGAAGCUUCUCCUCCAUGUACAGAGAUAAAGUAGAAACUGAAAAUUCAUAAAACACAUACAAAGAGAAGUUUUGAAGGCUCAUUAAAGUGCAGAAAUUAGGAACAAAGCAAUGCAUGAAACCAACCUGUUGGAACAAAGCAAUGCAGAUAGUAGUAUUUCCACUUGGUUUAACAUGGUGCAAAUCAACUUCUCAAAAUUUGACUUAAAGAACAUUUAGCAUUAACCAUAAAAAAGAUUCGUAGACUACAUGUUUCAGAAACAUGAAACAAUGAAAACCAGUUAGGCAUACAACUAUUCACACUAAAUAAUGUCAACUUUCAUCGUAGAAUACAAAUAGAAAUAUCGAACUCACGAAGUAGCAUAUCUCAAGUACAACUUUACAACUUUGCCGAGUCAGUAAAAAGUGCAUUUUUAGGUGAGGUAAUACACACAACAACUAAUUAAUGCUCCAAAUAAAUCGCAACUGCCAACGUAGGCAGGCACAUUUGUGUACCAGAGUCAGUUAACAAAAAAAUCUUCUUCAUAAUCAGAUCCAUCAACUUACGCAGCAACUUGAAAAUAAAAGCAAAAGUUUCCACACCCAAAAAAAAAGCACACACACACAUAACCAAAGCGCCACCUUAUAUUUUGCAGGAUUGACCACAAGGAAAAACAUAAAGCUACUAAUGCAGAUUCCCCAUAAGAAAGAGGAAUAGUAGAUGUAGAUAAAGAUAUACAAAAACAUUACUUUUUUGUGUUGCUUCCGAUACAUUGCUGUCCAAGUAAGCUUGGCAGGCUUCAGACGAUUGUGGAAGUACCGUUUGCAUUUCGAAUUAGCAAAAAGAAAAACCUACAUGAAGCAUAAGCAUUUUAGUCAAAAUGGGAUCACAGAAACUCAUGUUCUCCUGCAUGGAUUAAUAACCUUUCAGAAUAAAUUUACCUGGGAAUCGGCUCGGACAAAUCUUAUACCCUUUCCGGGAUAUAUCUUGGCGCCACUGAACCGGCAGAGUUCAGUCCUGCAGCCCCAAAUAGUAAGCUAAUGAAUUAUCCGCUUAUCCAAAUAUCAUAACUAGCCUCGAGUUCGACAGGACAACAUACUAAUGUGCAUUGCAACAUCAAAAAACAAAAGAAAUUGCACAAAGUUCAAUAAAGCAAAAGGAGAUCUUAAAAAUAUAGGGUUAUAUUUCAUAUACAAUCCUGUAAAAUAUAGCUUCUUAUGCCCCUUGAAAGUACUUUCGCUAUUUUUUUUUUCUGAAAUACCCUUAUCUUAAGUUGCAGAGUCAUCCUAUCCUGAGAGGAACUUGGUUUUAUAGGUACAAGGUUAUACAUGUGAGAAAUUAAAUAUUUGAAAGGCCGGAUACGAAAGAUCAUAUAUUUGAUACAUAUAGUAUAUCAAACAAACAUCAGAAUGAAAAAGAAAACAUGACGUAGCAACAACCGAACAAAAUAUUAUGGUUGAAACAUUGCUAAUAAAGAUUAAGGCCACAUUGAACAUAAUAAAGAGGGAUAAAAUGAUAUACGAACAGUCAUGCAAGUAUUAACAAUACAGAAAAAGAAAUAUUUUUUAGAACAGAUGAACGCAAACGUACUUCAGAACCAUCUUCUCGGCCUUUGAAAACCCUCACAACCUUCUGUAAACAAAAGUGGAGAAAUAAAUCAGAAUGUAACAAAUCAAAUCGACAAUAGUCAACAAUAUAACGUAGCAUUCAAAAUUACGAAUGCGCUAACCCAAAAAAAAAAACGAAAAAACAAGAACUUUAUAAGAAUCUACUAUUGAAUAGUCCAACAUAAGCUUACAAUAAUUGCAUCACGUAAUUUUUGGGUUUUUGUUCCGCAUAUCAACCUUCUACAUAUAUCUUAAUGCGAACUAUGGAUACGAUAUUAUAACAAUUAAACACUACUGAAAAAUUCGAUCUAUGUUUCAAAGAAUCCUAACAAAUAUAGAUCUGAACGAAUCAGGUCGAUCAAACCCUGAAAAGUUCGAUGAUUAGAGUAAAACGUAAAAAGUGAAAGGUAAAUCGCUGAUCUCGCAUCCAAUGCGUCGCUGCGAGAUUAAUCGAGAAGUAGAGGAGAAGAGAAAUCGCUGAGCCGUGGAGAAUGGCACCUUUUACGAACCCUAGCCGCGGAAUGGGACGGCGAGGGUUUUUGAGGAAACCCGAGAACGACGAUGCCGCAAAAUGGCUCCGUUGCCGCUUCCUAGGGUUUUUGAGGGCUCAGGGGCUCUUAGAUGGACGGUUCGCGAUCAAUCAGGGUCUGAUUGGACGGAUAGCAUUGCAUGUAACAGAUGUUGCGAUGGUGGGCCGGUUCGGUCGAGCCGGUCCGGCCCGGAACCGCUUUCGGAUCGGUCCAGUUUAAGUGGGCCGCUUCUGGGCUGGGCCUUGCCUGGUGGUGGUCAGUGGCCAUAAAUUUUUUUAUCAUUUGUUUAAAAAAAUUUCUCAGUUAUUGUUAUUUAAUUCUGUAAAUAAAAUUUUCUAUUACUAUUAUAAAAACUGAUUUAGGAAAAAAUAAAUAUCUUUCUACGCUGUAGUAGAUAGUAAAAAGAGUAAUUGGGGAUUGAGAAAACAAUUAAAAUGAAAAGAAAAAAAUCAGAGAGUAAACACCGAGUUAUAUCUUUUCUCAUUCUUCGCAACAUACAACUAAGUCUUACAUAUUCCACUCCAACCAAAGAAAAAAAAAGAACUGCAAACUAAGCCAACAACAUAGAUAUUGUCUGCGAAAAUCAUGAAUACAGAACCAACAUAAUUAAUCAUCUCCUUGGUUAUUAUCAGCAUUAUCAUGUGAACUAUCUUCAGCUAUUGUCAAGGAUAGUCCCAAGAGGUAAUUAGACGAUGGCAGGUUCGAUUAGGGCAAACCCCAGCAAUCAAGUUUCACCAGAUGUGGUUAUAUUUCACAAAUUAUCUAACAUUCCCCAGUUUGCGCAACAACCAAUUGCCAAUUCCUUUCGCAAUCAGCCUCUUUAGUGUACCAUCAAACUGUGAAUCAGCUUUUGCUGAUGAUUGCAGAUAAGAUGAUAUAUGCUUGAUGCCCAAUUUGAUCUCGCCGGCCCAUGUAACUCUGCAAUUUAAUCAUUAAACGAAAUGACGUGUUAAACGAAAAGAAGGAAAAAACCAAAUUGAAGUUUCCAUGGUCGUAAUGGACAAGUAUGACGGACCUUCGCAAAAAAAAGAAAAAAACAGAUGGUCUCAAUUAAGCACAAGCAUCAGUCUCUACAUCCGAAGGUCCAGAAUCCGCUGACGUUUCAUCAGAUGCUUCUUUCCUCUUCUGUUUGCUGUUAUCUGGAAAAACACAGACAAUAAAAUCAGUAAGUUGUAUAGCCAAGAGUGACAGAAUAAUUCCUUCUAUUUAUUGUUUCAGUUCAUUUAAUUAUAUUUCCAAGUUCCAACUAAAGAUCCUAAUGUUUUGAUUUUGAUAUGUGGUAACAGGUUUCAAGGAUCUAGUUUGGGGUAAUGUAUUUCAUCUCUCAGUGGCUUUAUUACGGAGACCAAGAAAAGGAGAAUAGGAUAUCUUGUGUGAUGAUGUGCCAGGUAUUUUGGUCUUCACUAAAAAAAAAUUUAGCCAAAUAGUCAAGCCCGUAAGUGUACGACAAUUUACGCAAAAUAACUCCUUGUUCCAAUGGCAUAUAUUCAAUUUAACAGAAAUCAGGUAUAUACUUUAAAUAAAGUAAAUUAAAUUUGUCUACAUCGAUUAAAGAAACAGACCUUUUCUAUUGUAUUCUUUAGAACCACUUAUUGAUCUUGUGAUGCACAAAUGAGAAGACUUCAGUGCACAAAUUUUUCCCUUGAAGGGAUUUUAUAUGUUCCAUGUCAACAUGACCACAUUAUGAGAAUAACCGGCUUGCUUUCCUUGAGAACUAAUGAGUAAAACUUUGUGGUCAAAGUUUUGAAAAAGAUAAAUGUUUGUUUGCUGCCAAGGUACGGCAUAAUGUCUAUGCAAUUGGCAGGAGCACAUGGGAACACACAUAGUUCAUGAAUGGCAUAUUAAAAUAUUUUAAUUAGAGCGGAAACUUAGGAAUAUAUAGUUGAUAAAGGAAUGCACAUAGAAAAAAUUAAGAAGAAAACAGAAAAAUUCUAUUAUCAUAUCCAAUUUACGUUUUUUUUAUAAACAGUGAAUAUAUACUAACGCUCACAACAGAGUUUCAAGUAAAAGACAAGAAUAUUAUAGAGCCACCAAAUGAUGAAUUUUCAAAAUAAACCAACAUUAUUCAAAACAUAAAAUUUAAUAAAUGAUUAAGUAGCCAAUCAUCCACAGACAAAUAUUUAUUAUCAUCGGAUUGGAUGCAUGCUACUCAACUUUGGAAGUUCAGAUCAUGUUCAUGAAUUUAAUUAACACGACAUGUUUCCACAAGUCCCAAUAGCAAGGUUUAGCUCAAUAGUUAUUUUUAUUUUUUCGGCAACAUGAACAAUUUAGGUCCUCUGGCAGCUAAACUAUUUUUUUUUAAUUUAAUUGCUCGACAUAUAGAUGAAAAAAAUAAAUGGCAUAGUCUACCUGCUUUGUCAUCAACCUUCUGUGCAACCUUUCGGGCUUUUCGAGAUUUCUUUUGACGUUCGUCCGAUGACUUAGAGAACAAGUGGCCAUACUUUUCGAGCACUCUGUUCUUUUCUUCUAUUAAGCCGAGCAUCUCAUAUGCAUCUGCUGCUUUCCGCACAACUGACUUACUUGGAGGUUUACGAUCAUAUGCUUCUAGCCCUUUGAAGAGCUACAACACAAAAGCAACAGCCUUUAUAAAACUGAAAAAUUCCCAACUUGACAAAAGCUCUAAGUUGUUUCCACUUCCUUUAUACAACUUAUAAGAACAAAGAAGAGUUUUUAUAUAGAAGUAAUUAAAAAGAAGCACCUUCUUCUAUAAAUCUGCUGGAGGAGUCUGUACCUUUACAAGCCUUUCUAGCAUGUUGUUUCGGUAAUAAAUUGAUAGCAUAAGAUCACAGAAGCGCCAUGGCACUGAAUGUAAGUCGUGACUCAUCUUCUUCUCCCAAAUUUUGUGAGCUUCCUCCGCCCUGUUAUCUUUCUCCAAUGCACGAAUUAACUGCUCAUAUGUUCCCAUUGUAGUUCCUUGCCCCUUGCUUAACAUCCAUUUUACAACCUGAAUAAAACAAUCACUCAAGAAUAUACCAGAAGUAGAAGCCAAUUUUAGGACCUGCAAUUCAAUUAACACCUGAACAACUUUAUGCCAUUGUUCCUCCUUUUCAAGAACAAGAAGUGCUUUCUUCAGUGAGCUCAGAGGAAAUGUUUGCUCCCAGGCGACCCAAGCAUCAAGAGUACCAUAAACAGCUUCUUUGGAAUCUUUUAGGUCAAGGAGCUGCAAAUUGAAAAACCUUAGUAGCUGGUUAAUUUUGUGCUACAAGUGUUAUCAAAAAAUAAAUAUUUUUGGUACAUUGUAAGUUAGUUGGAAAGAUCUGUUAGCCAACAUAAUGCAUUUGUUACCUUGGCUGUUACAUAUAUAGCAUCUAAUUGCUACUGUUUCACAGCAAAAAAGGACCUUUUUACACAGAUUGCAGAUGAAUUUGCCUAGUAGGUUUACAGGACCAGGUACACCUAUCUUAUCUUGCGGUAAAUAGAAAGUUUAACAUGAUAAUAGAAACAAACAGUUUCUCAUAAUGAUUAUUGCAAUCAACAAGGUGUCAUCCCAUACUCAUUCUAUUGAGGAAAUCAUUUCAUUGCAGGAUAGAAUUAGCAAUACUAUAUAAAAGCACAUUCGUCUCUGUAAUGAACGUGUGCCCGCGGCAUGCGCACGAGAGAGAGAGAGAGAGAGAGAGAGAGAGAGUUUUGCCAAAUACAUACCGUGUUAACAAGAAAUCUCCUUUUAUCUGUUGAUGUGAUAUUUUUGCCAACUUGUUUGAUGACUGGCUCAUUCUCACUUCUUUGUAUCUGAUUAAUCAUCUCAGCAUUUCUCUGUGGACAAGAAUUCACACAUUUAACCAAUUUCAUCAAAUAAAGUUUAUAAAUAACCUUUAUAGGGAACUGAUUAUAUUUCCCAUAUAAAUAAUAGAGAAGUAGGAAAAAAACAAACAAACAAACAAACACGAUCUUAACACACAGCAAGGAUUAAAAGCUCGUUUGUAUAAUUUAUUGUACAGAAAUUUUGAGCUAAUUGGGACAAAAACUAGUUUUAUUUGAGAUUAUCCAAACAUUUGCGAUUAUCAUAAGAUUUUUCACUUGGCAGAACCUCUGCUGGCAAAGUUGCUUUUGAUCCACGUUGUCCAUAGACUUGGUCUUCCACAACUUCCCUAUAAGCAGAGGACCUAGAUUGAAGAACCAAAGUGCUGGUGACAUAGCUACGGCAACAAAACCUCCCAGCUCCAAGCUGCAAAGAAAUAAUUGAUCAACUGAUUAGGAGAAGAAAUUAAAGGGAACCAACUUGUGAAAUUUAAAAAGGCAAAAAGUAUAAUUUGCAUUUAAUUGACAUCUUUAUACAGGACACAAAAUUUGCAGAAUAAUUUAUAGGUCAGAAAGAUUUUAGUAAUUCAAUCACCCAUCAAUAAAGCUUUUCGGAUGAAUAAGAUAUAUUUUCAAUUUCAUACUUACAAAUCAGUUAUGACGACUACAAUAUCAUACAAUUGACUGCAGGAAUCCUACCAUCAAUAGAUCACUAUCUUUUAGACAUAAAUUCUCCCAAAAAUUGACAAUUUUUCGAAGGAGACGUAAGUCAAUAUUAGUUCAGUUGAAGAGAUAUGUGUGGCAUUCAAUCCAGCGAUAAUAUUAUACUUCUCUAAACUAUCUUAUCCUGUAAUUACUUAAUAUAUUCUUAUACUCUAAACUACAAAUUUAUACUAUAGUUAUUAUAUCAUCAUUGGGAACUAUUCAAGUUCAGUGUAAGUUCACUAGUUCAAAAAACUUACAUUGUUUUCUCCACCACCACCACUCAAAAAUGAGCUCAUUCGCCUAGUUGAUUCAACGCCAUUUUGAUACAACAACUGAGAUCCGUUCCCCGCAAUAACCCUAUCAUUAGAUCACCCACAUACUAAAAUUAGAGUCAAACCUAAAAAAAAACCCUUAAGCUGAUGCACUACCUCAACACCCUCAAACAAAUUACUAAGUUUCAACCGGAAAAAGACCACGACAUGAUCCGACCACAGAAGCUUAAUAUCGUCGAAACAAGACAGAAAAUUCCUUAAACGAUAGGUGUAAUUGGAGUAAAAUGAUGCCACGGAACCACCUGAAUCGAUCGGGCUUGGAGGCAGAGAGGAGAGCGAGGAGCUUCGAGGCACCGCCCAUGGAGGCGGCGCGACGAGGAUGGAGAUGGGCCGCGCCGGCGCCGGCGCCGGCGAGGCUUCCGGCGGUGGGGAGAGCGAAUACGGCGAGGAAAUGGAGGGGAUCGACUAGGGUUUUAGGGGGGAUGCGAGAGAGAGAGAGUGAGAAAGAAAGGUUUGGGUAAUUUCUAUGCGAAGUACCUGUACUAUCCACAUUUUAUAACUUAGUCCAAUACAGUACAUUGUUUGGAGAACCCUCAACUACAAAAUAUUUUUAACGAGAUCCCUCAACUUCAUUUUUUUUUUCCAAUUGACACCUCUCUAUUUUCUGAUUUUUUUUUUUAUUUGAGUUAUUCUAGAAAUUUAACAAAAGUUUUGGUAAAUUUAACAGCCCAAUUAUCUAAGAGUUUAACUAAUAUAGUUUUAUUUGUUUCAUACAAAAUAAAAAUCAUAAAUUUCCAUAAAAUUGUCAAAUUAUUCAGGUGAAAUCGUUUAAUUUAGAAAAUUUAAAAAUUAAGAGGAUUUAGUCUUUAAAAAAUAAUGUUUACUGUUUCAAAAAGUUGCUGGGUCUCCAUGAAAAUAAACAAGUUAUUUUAUUUAAAAUAAUUAAUUUAUAGAAAAAUUAGAUAUUAUUUUCUUUGUUGUUGUUGUAAACUAUUAGUAUGUAUUAAAAUUUGUAACUAAGUUAAAAUUGCAGCGCUGGAUUCGUAAUAUCAGGAUAGUACAAGGACUACACAUAUAUUUUUGGGAAAAGAUUAUCAUGGGCUUAUGGACCGGCCUUAUUGGGCCAGAAAUGGGCCAUAAGGAUCGACAGAACCUUCGGCCCAACUAAUAACAAGAGCCUAAAAUUAUUUGAACUCAAAGCCAUAUUUAGCACUAGGGCUAGCAAUCCAUCGCGUUGUUUGUGUGUCAACUCGUAUUCAGCUCAAAAUAAGUUCGACAUUGAUCGCUCGUUUAAUAAAUGAACCAAACACAAGCUGAAUUUUUUAAAUCAAAAUUUUAACGAGUCAAACAUGAGCUGAGAUUUUGCUCGCUCAUGUUCGGCUCAACCUUUUUUCAACUCGAAAUCUUAAUGAGCCGAACAUUAAUUGGGUCAAUUCGCCCUUAUUCGACUCAAAAUAAGCUCGAGAUCGAUCGAUCAUUUAAUAAAUGAGCCAUAUACAAGCUGAAUUUUUUAGAUUGAAAUUUUGCUCGCUCAUGUUUGGCUUGACUUUGUUUGAGCUCGAAAUCCUAACGAGACAAAAAUGAACUAGGGUCAACUCGCUCGUAUUCGGUUCAACACAGCUCAAAUAUGUGUGCAUAUAUAUUUAAAUGUUGUAAAUUUCUACUGUUCAGAUUUUAGGCCAACUUAAAUAUAAAUAAAUGUAUAUUUUGUACAUUUUAAUUACUAGAUUAAGAUUCUAACUUUUUAACUUUCUUUCAACUUUUCAUCCAAUGGUAACGUUGACUAUUAAACUUGCUGUUUGUGAGCCAACUCGUGUUUGGUUCGUUAAUAAACAAGCCGAGCACGAGCUGGAUUUGGCACUAAGGAUUGGGCUAGAUAGGUUAACACAAAAGGAUUCCAUAGGAUUGGAACUCAAAUUGGAUUGGACAAAUAAUAAUACAAUCUAGUGUUUGAUACUCUCCAAAUAACUUAUAGGAUUGGAUUAUUCAAUAAAAUUUCAAAUUUAUACCUACAAUCGUAUUCAUAAUUUUAAUUUUAAAUUUGAAUGGGGAUAUUUAAGUUUGAAUACAAAGUUCAACUUUAAAUUAAAGGUCAAAAAAACAUCUAAAAUUAAAAUUUGAAUUAAAACUCAAAAUUUUGAAUAUUUUUAUUUUUAUUGUUCAACACUGUUGAACUUACAAACGUAUCACAUUCGCCAUUCAAAUAGUUAUUUUUAAAACUCUUUAAUCACUUAGCAAGUGAUGUCGACAAUUUAUAAAAUUUGAUUUCUAAAUAGACCUAACAGUGUAAUCAAGUUUAACGAAAUCGGUCGCUGAAUUAGAUGUUUCAUCAUAAAAAAUAAUUUAAAAGUACGAAAACCUCCAUACUCCUAAAAAUAUGUAUUCAAAGCUAAAAAAAAAAUUGAACCACAAAAUAACAAUUCCAAUAUUGCUAGUUUUCUUCAGUAAAAAUCAAACUUGUCAAUAAUAUAUAUUCUAGUGGAAAAAGCUGUUACAUAGUUAUAAUUAUUAUUUUUUUAAUCAACUCUAUAGCAAAGUACUUACCCUAGGACAUAAAGUUUGAGCUGGACCAAACUAAUUAAUUAGUCCCCCAAUUAUAAAUUAUAAUAAUAAUUAGUAAGAUAUUACUUCUAAACCCUGACCUUAACCAAAAUUUCCUGCUUUUUUUCUUUGCUUCCACUUAUUUAAUUAUUUCGCCACUUUUGUAAUCCCUUAUUUUGAUAGCCUACCAGGCGUCGCGCGUAUACCUUAAACAAGUCUCUAAUCAUCUCAAGAACGAGACUUAAUUUCCGACAAAAAAUUGCACGGUGACCACCGACCGUGAUUAAGUUAAUCUUAAAUAAACGCGACAAAAUCAUCGAAGUGAUUAAAGUGUUAGGAAUAAUUCUAUAAUUUUUCUAAGAGAAUGAUGGUUCAUCAACUUCUACAAUCUUAUAUGUACACUAAGUAGAGAACUCGAUCCAAUUGUAGUCACAUGUACUUCGAUUUAAUUACCUUAAAAGCACACUUUAACUAGUUUAGUGAAAUUAGAAGAUGCCCAUCUAAUAACUAAUUAGCUUUUGUUCUAUUAUAUUGAUGUAGAUCACUUAAUUUGCAUUAGUUACCAAAAGAAAUCCUAUUAUUGCAUGUUUUUUGCCUUUAUGGUGGAAUAAAUUAAUAGUGCUCACUAGAGUACUUAAAAAAUAAAAAAUAAAAGAAUGUAUAACAUGGCAUGUUUUCUACAAAUGCAUGUAUGUACUUGAAUGAAUAAUAUAAUGUAGUUGAUAAAAACAAAUCUAGUUUACAACACUAAAGUUGCUUUAUUCUUGUUUUGGAUUUUAUAUGUAUAAUAGGGGCUUAAUUAGGGCUAGGUUAAGCUUGUGAUCAAGUCCUUUUUUCUUGUUUUCUUUUUUUUAAAAAUUCUUACCACUUUUUGGAGUCAAAAAUGGCUGCAAUUAAUUGUAUAGAUAGAUGACUUAAAUAAUGCUUAAUUUGUAGAACCCUUUUUUAAGUACUUUGGCUUUAUCCCUUAUGGUUGUUUAGCACCAUUCUUUUGUGACACAUGAUAAUAUAUAUUAGAGAGGGAACAAAACAAUUUAGUGUUAUAACAAUAAAGUAAUUAAUAUGAUAAUGUUACACAUGCAAAAUCAAAAGAAACCAGGUUAAUUAAUUUAAUAAAUAGCUCUUAAUUAAUUAGCUAGGGAAUAUUGUCUAGCCCAACUAAAAUUUCCUUUUUCUGUACAUCAAAAUUGUUUGUAUCGCUUUCGUAGAAUAUUCAGAAGUUUCAAAUUAGAGAUUUUAAUUUUACUUUUUUAUUAUUUUUAUUUGUUAUAUUAUACUAAUUUUUUUUCAAAUGCACCAUUAAUAUUUUACCAAUUUCUACACUGUAUUUUAGAUUCAUUUUUAUUUUUCUAUCUGGUACUAACUUUUUUUCUCAUAGAUAUCAGUAAACUAUUUUCUUACCGAUCUCUAUAUUAUUGUUAAUAAACUCAUUAUAUUAGACAAAAUCUAACGACUUUAUUAAGAGGUACUAGUUUAAUAGUAUAAAACAUACAAAAUAAAUCUUCGUGAUAGACUCAUUGAAAACCUCUAUUAAAUUAUUUUCAAUUCUUUUUUGUUAUUUUUAUAUGUUUUCUAUUUUUUAUAUUAAAAUGAGUUAAAUGUAUGCACUACCGCUUUUAACCAGUAAUUUUUAACAGCUUUCCUGCAUAUAAAAUUAUUAGUUUAUUAUUAAAAAAUAAUAAAAUGAUUAAGCAAUCAAUAAAGUAUUUUCCUAUCCGCCGGUUAUUUUUAUAAAUUUAAUUAGUAUAACUCAUGCAAUCCUCGCAACAAUAAACUAAAUAAAGUAAGCAAUUAACUUAAAUUUUAAAGUCAAACUAUAGUUUACUAAUUCAAUUAAUCAAACAAAUUGGAAGGUAAAACGAUAAAAUUAAAAUUUUGAAAUUUAAGUUACGCACAUUUUUUAUUUUAUUUUUUAGGCUAAAUUAUAUAAUUUUUUUUUAAAAUACCCAAUUUUUAACUUCCCCUCCUUAACUUUUAAAAUCUUAUAUUUUACUCAUUCAACAUUUCAAAUUAUUGUAUUUAGCCCCUCUAGCUCUGAUAAGGUCCCACCUCUAUUCCGUCCUUUUUUUUAAAUUUAUAUCAAAAAUACCUUUCAAAAUAACAAUAAUAUAUUAAUAAAUAUUUUUUUUUAUACAAUAGGUAAACACAAUUUGGUUAUUUCGCCCACUUCAUUAACGCCGCGCUCUUCCGAAAAUAUUUUUAAAAUUUUAAAAAAUAAAAAUAUAAAUUUUUGAAAGUCAAAACAAAAAAAAUAGAAAAACGGAUAUUAAGAAGAAAUUUUCUAUAAUUUAGAUUAAUUUUUGAAAAAAAUACUUUUUUUUUUUGGUGGGCCCCAGCACCCGCACGUGCCUCAAUCCCCCGCCCACGUGACUGCAGGAGCCGUUAUCUCUUUCCUCCACUGCAAAAAAAUAUUUGGUGUCAGAAAAAGUUUUGGACUCUGGUGAGAGGAAAAAGAUGAAAAUUUAGAAUAAAACGCAAGCGUGUGAAACAAGAUAACCACUCCGAUCGAUUCCCCCACUCAAAUAUAUAUAAUAUAAUAAAGUAAAAUAUAAUAAAAAAAUUGUUUCAAACUUUGUUGGACUUGGUGAAAUAACAUAGUAAAAACAUCAUCAUCUCAAUACUUUGUUGGUAUUAUAAUUUGUUGGAAAAACUUUAAAAAUCCCCCCGUUGUUUCGUAGUUUCUUAUUUUGGCCCCCUGUGGUUUAAAAUGUAUCAAUUUGUCCCCCUGUGGUUUUGUUUUUCUCUUUUUCUUAUCAAUUUCAUUAUUUUUUUUCCUUAAACCAAUAAUAAAGUUAAAAUUAAAGGGUACUAAAGUGAAUAUUUGAUAAAUCUAGAUGGGUAUCUGAAGUUUUUUGUAUAUAAUUUAACGAAAUAUUAACGAAAAAGCUACUAAAAAGAUAAAAACGAAACCACAGGGGGGCAAAUUGAUACACUUUAAACCACAGGGGGGGCAAAGUGAGAAACUACGAAACCACACGGGGGUUUUUGAAGUUUUCCCUAAUUUUUUUCUUUUUUUCUUUUUUUUCUUUUUUUUUGAAGGUUGAAGUUUUUUUUUUUGGCUCAAUUAUAGAAAAGUUUUAUAUAAAUAUCUUUUUUUCUUGAUAUUCAAAAAUUUAUAUUUUAUCUGCUUAAAAAUUUAAAAAUAUUUUUAAUAAUGUACGACAAAAUGACUAGAUUUUAAAUAUUCAAAUUUAUUUUUAAUGGAAAGGGCAAAAUGACUAGAUUACCCUUACUUCUUUUAUAAAAAAAAAAAUAAUUUUUAAAUAUAUUUCUGUCAUUUUUAAAAAUAUUUUUCGUAUGAAUUAUGAGAAAUAGAUGAAUUAGUGAUGGAACCCUAACGAGGGGGGAGGCUAAAUGCACCGACUUAAAAUUUUGAGAGGUAAAUACAGGUUUUUUAAAGUUAAGGAGGAAAAAUAAAAAAAAUCGAAUAUUUAUAAAGAAAUUUCUGUAAUUAGCCUUCUUUUUAGGUAAAUUAUAUUUGCAUCCUCAAACUAUGAAAUGCGUGGUAUUUUUGUCCUCAAAUUUUAAUUUAUUUAUAAUUUUUGGUUCGAAGAUUUUGAAAUAUUAUAAUCAAGUGCUGCAAUCCAAUUCAGUUAGUAUAAAUAUAUAUGUAACCACUGAAUUGGAUUAUGUGACUUGUAAUAAUUUAGAAAGAUAAAACAAAAAAUUUUAAUAAAUUAAAAUUUGAGAACCACAGUACGACGGGACUAAUAGUUUGAGGGCCAAAAGUGUAAUUAAUUUACCCUUUUUUAUUUUUCACCCUUUGAUGUAAAUUUUGUGUUUCUUUUGGGGAAAAUUUCAAAAAACCCCCUGUGGUUUCGUAGUUUCUCACUUUGCAUCCCUGUGAUUUAAAAUGUAUCAAUUUGUCCCCCCGUGGUUUCUUUUUUCUCUUUUUCUUAUCAAUUUCAUUAUUUUUUUUCUUAAAUCAGUGAUAAAGUUAAAAUUAAAGGGUACUAAAGUGAAUAUUUGAUAAAUCUAGAUGGGUAUCUGAAGUUUUUUGUAUAUAAUUUAAUAAAAUAUUAACGAAAAAGCUACCUAAAAGAUAAAAACGAAACCACAGAUGAGCAAUUUGAUACAUUUUAAACCACAGGGGGGCAAAGUAAGAAACUAUGAAACCACAGGGGGGGUUUUUGAUGUUUUCCCUUUCUUUUAUUAUGUGAAGAACUGCAUGAUCAAGAUCUUCUCUGUAACUUCUCUCAAAAAAAGAUCUUCUCUGUAACAUAUUUUUCAAGUCAGAUUAAUCACAUCUAAUUAAAUAUCUUUAUCUUGAAUAAUAGGAUAUAAAAAUAAAUUUAUAUAAUUUAAUCUAAUCGAUAAAUUUAUAUAAUUUACAAAGUAUUAUAAAUAAUAAAUUAGGAUUAAUUUCAUACAGAUCCCUACAAACAUAAUGAAUAGCAAAUAUAUCCUUACAAAGUUUAACUUUCAUAUAUUGUCUCUACAAAAAUCUUGAUGUUUUCAAGUAUAUCCCUGCCGUUAGAAUCAAUUAGAAAAAUUAAGUUAAUCAUCAGCUAAAUACUUAACCUUGUUAGUUUUUAACAUUUUUAUCUCUCUUAUAUUAUAUUGUUAUGAUUUUUGAAGGGGCAUAUUUGUAAUGACAAAAUUGAAAAUAUAAACAGUUUUCUAACAAUAACAAACCAGAGAGACGUAUUUGAAAAUAUUACGACUUUUGUAGAAAUAACAUAUAAAAGUUGAAUUUUAUAAGAAUAUAUUUAUCAUUCACUAUAUUUAAAGAAAUAUGUAUGAAAUUAACCCUAUAAAUAUAUGUUUGUAAGAAGUAUUUCCAGUAUGAAUGCAUUUAAAAAGUUACAUGGGCUUCAGAUUUUUGAAACCCAGACCAAAUCUCUUGGCCACAGCUGUGGAUAAUAAAUUUCUUAGUUGUAACAGGUGAUUUAAAAUUUUAAACACUACUCUCUCUCUCUCUCUCUCUCUCUCUCUCCUAUGUAUCUAAAUGAUGGCAUUUAUGUGUGUUUGUUUCCUGGGCUCUUGCAUUUGCUGUCUCUGCUGCAGCUGCAGAUCCACAUUUGGCUUCUUGGUCCUGGCACUUUCCAACAAGCUGCUUCAUAGUGAGUCAAACAAGUUACCAUAUCAUCAUCAUCAUCAUUUAUGAGAGAGAGAGAGAGAGAGAGAGAGAGAGGACUUAAUAAAAACUCAGCAGGAUACUAUAAUGGAGUUGUAUCUUGUGGGGAUGGUUUUUGGCAGAGAGCAUCUUUUUCACCACCCAAACACAACUCAUGACUCAUGGCAGUGAUGACACACAUGACAUAAAUACAUAAAAAAAAAGGUUUCUUACCUGAACUAUACAUAGUUACAUUUUAGAAUGCACCUCUCAGUAUUAUACAGAAAAAACUUCAAAAAACCCUUUGCACUUUUUCAUUUUAGUAUUCCGUAGUUUAAAAUGUAUUAAGUUAGUAUCAUGUGGUUUCGUACUUUCUCACUUUAGUACCCUGUGGUUUAAAGUGUAUCAAGUUAGUAUCAUGUGGUUUUAUUUUUGUAUCAAGUUAGUAUCAUGUGGUUUUAUUUUUGUAUCAAGUUAGUACUCCGUGGUUUUAUUUUUCUCUUAAUGAAAUAUUAAAUCACAGGGUACUAAAGUCAGAAAGUAUGAAACCAUAGGAUACUAACUUGAUACACUUUGAACUAUAGAGUACUAAAGUGAGAAAGUGCAAAACCACAGAGUACUAAUUUAAUAUACUUUAAACCAUAUGAUACUAAAGUGAGAAAAAAUGAAACCAUCAGGGGGUAUUUGAAGUUUUCGCUAUAUAUAUAUAUAUACUAAUAGAAAAUCAGUAGUUUAAUUUGGUUAAAUGAAUUGGGGGCAAUUGAUCAAAUUUAAUAGUUUUAAUCAGUAGCAAGAAAUGGAACUAAAGUGAGUGCUGGGCCUACUGGAUAGUGACUGACAGAGUCCUAAAAGAUUUAAUAAAAUCUUUAACUUAACUAACUAAAAUAACACAUAAAAAAAAGGCCUAUAUUUUUACCUUCACUAUUUACCAUCUCUGUAUCCCAAUCUCUCUCUCUUUCUCUCUCUCUCUCUCUCUUAAAUCAUCACUAUGAUUAGGGUUAGCUGUUGGGAAUCAUAAGUGAUAAAAAAAAAAAAAAAGGAAAGAGAAAUAAAGGGGCUUUUCAUAUUUUGCAGUGUCCUCUCUUUUGAUUUUGCCAUAUGUGGGCAGUGAAAUAUUUACAGCAUGUCUCUUAUAUAUAAUCCCACUGUACCAAGAUGCAGUUAUUACUUCACCCAUUGUUGCAUGUGCCCUAGUACUCCCUCUCUCUCUUUUUUUUUAAAUUUUUUGUGUGUGUGAUGUGGAAGUAUCAAUAUGAAGCUUUAUCACAAGAGUACAUGGGAAUCAAGCUCUAGUACUUUUAAAAGUAUCAGUUAAUUGGUAUUUGUAGAUUUUCAGUUUUUGAAUUAAGAGAUGAGUCCUAUUGUAUUUUCGGCCUUUGAAUUAAUAAAUAUGAUAUACCGUAGAGAAUAUAUAUAUAAUUGGACUAAAAUAUUAUUAAAAUAGUAUUUGGCCUUUUUUAUUAUUAAGUUUUUAACAUUUAGAUAAAAAAUUAUAGAGUUGAGAUGAUAGUGGUCCCGUAAGUUUUACUGGUAGUCCUCCUAGGAUUGAGUAGGUGAUUGGUUGAAUAGUAUAAUCUAAAGGAUGGAAUUGAUUAAAAUGUAUAUCCAACGGCUAAAAAAUCGAUAGCAAAAAAGACCCAAAUACUAUUAAUUGUAUUUAAGCUCAACUCUCUCUCUCUCUCUCUCUCUCUCUAUAUAUAUAUAUAUGUCAAUUUCAUACAGAUUCCUAUAAAUAUAGUGAAUAGCAAUUAUAUUCCUACAAACUUCAACUUUCAUAUAUUGUCCUUCAAAAGUCCUAACGUUUUCAAAUAUAUCUCUCUGAUUUUUCACCAUUAGAGAACCAUUAGAGAAACUGUUUAUAUUUUCAAAUUUUUCAUCACAAAUAUAUAAGUUUUGAGCUUCUUUGCUUUUAAAAGUAUUAAUUCAUUGGUGCUUGUAGGUUUUCGACCAUUGGAUUAAAGAAGUGCGGUUAGAAUGAUAGUGUUUUCCUAGGGUUAAGUGGGUGGUAGGUGGAAUAGCAUAAUCGAAGGGGUGGAAUUGGUCAAAAGAAUAAAUCUAAUGGUGAGAAAUUUAUAAACACUAAGUGUUUUGUGUUUUUAAAAUCACCAUAGCUAGACUCUAUAUAUAUUCCUGUUAUGCUAUGUUUAGUAACAAAAUAUUAAAGAGAAUAAGGCCUUUUAUAUUAAUUGUCUCUUGUGCCAAACACAAAAGGUUUGACAUAAAUAGUUUAUUUUGAUUAAAACAGAUUAUUUUAAGUUAUUUAAUUAGAAUUCUUUUUCCUCCUCACCCUUGAAACAAGGGUUUUCUUUCAGUUUAUCAUUCGCCUAGUUGAUUCACAUUUUCAGGUAAGUUUAUUUUUAUAUGAAAUAAACGAAGCGGAUAGCGUACUAUCUAUCUCUCUCUCUCUCAAAAAAAAGAAACUAUACAUUAUUGUGGAAACUAGCAGAAGUAUCUGAUUGAAGCUUUUUGCAAAAGUAGUUCGUGCUAAUUUUUUUUCGAAUGUGAACCGGAUCGUAUAAGUUGAUUUUCGUGUUCUCGAGUCGUCGAUGAAGGUCUUCUAAUUCUCCAAAUUAACCUGCGGUGGACCGAACUAUAAGUGAGCUAAGCCUAUAUUCUACAAUUGCAAUAGAUUAACGAAGGAUUCUCUCUCCCUCAAGAUGGUAUACGAAUUUUUUACGAAUUUUUCUUGAUUUUUUGGUUAAUUUCUAUCCCUCUUUUACACGUCUCUCAUGAGAGAACACCCUAAUAUUUAUAAGGUUCUCAAUGCCCUAAAAUUUCAGGCCAAAUCGGUUUAUAAUUAUCAUUCUAAUAUAACGAGAAAAUAUGUCUAAUUAGCUUUUCAAAUUAAAAAUGAGAUACAAUCUAGUCUAAGUAGAUAAUAUAAUAAUCAUUGAAUCGAGCCUGAUCAUAGGCGCAUCAAAUUUGACAAAAUGCCGCAUUCACAAUUCUUAAGAAAUAAUUAAACAUUAUUUUGGUUAUAUUUGGAAAUAACCAUAUGUCGGACCAAAGACAAAAUUUCUCUUCUUCUUCUCUAUUCUAGAAUAUUGAGUUAUUUCAAAAAUAAAAAUUAUUUAUUCCUUCAUAUAUUAUAGUGUUACCAAAAACUAUCUCUUUGUCAUUGUAUAAAAUACACUACAACCAAAACGGUUUAUAGCGACACUUCUAAAUGUAGGUACAUGUCAAAAAAGUGUUGCUAGCUAAAAUUACCGAUACUUUUAAAAAGUGUUGCUAUAUGUGGGGUCGCUAGGUAUAUAGUAACAGUUAAAGAGUGUCGCUAUAACCUAAAAGAGUGCUAUUAAUUUACCAACACUUAUUUAAGCAUUUAGCAACCGUCGAAACUCUAUCUCGUUGGCUGCGGUGGCGGAGGGGGACGACAGGAAAGGCUCUUCGUCUAGAAUUUCAGUGGAUUGAGUAAAGAGAGAAGAAAAGAUGGUAAUUGAUUUUUCUUUUUUUUUCAUUUCUAUUUAUAAUCGGGCCAACUAGACUGGGUGUGGUGGGUUGAGUAGAGUAAUGUUUUAUUUUUGGUUGGAUUGGGCUUUAUAUUUAGGCAUUAGUAGAUAUUUUUUUAAGUUUUAGCAUAAAUAUGACACUUACUCAAAAGUGUUCUAAACAUGUGUUUCUAUAAUCUAAUUCUGUUGUAGUGAGAGUUAAGGUAAACCUACAAAAGUAUGCCAUACCCAAAUUAUUACAAUCUACGUAACAUAAUAUUUUUUUUAUUUCUUUCCGCUAUACUUUUUUACUAUAUGUAAGGCAUCCUUCCUACCGUCCAAAUUCAAAUGUUGGAUUAAGUGUCGUGUCAUUUGAAAGAUAACUACUACU